CAUAUAUAACCACAUGCAACUGUAAAAGAUGAUACAUAUACUAAACUAGGCAGUUGGGUUGAAACCAAUUUCUUCAACCGAUUGAGGACACUUCGUGUCAAGAUAACUGUCGCUCGAACUUUAUCAGUUGGUCCUGAAAGACAUCGAGGUUGAUACUCUUCGUUAAAAGUUUCAACCUUUGCGUUCUUCAGAUAACUUUCAUCAAGUUUCGGGAAUUUAACAAGUCGAUCAUAAACGGGUAAACUCCCAUGAGUUAAAAACAACUCAUCUGUUCCUGAUUGAGCUAUCGAAGUCCACGCUUUCAAGAAACAAAACCGCGUGCUAGCAUCACCCAAACUAUGAUGAUUCGUCAUGCCAAUAGAGAAUCCAUUGUUCGGAAAAAGUGUAACCUGAACGGAGAACACCGGAAUUGUUAUGAAGUCGGAGACUUUAACAGUGCGUUUGAGAAGAGGUACAAGAUGAUAAAACUUGUCACACUCUCGUGGAUGGUUUCCUGUAAGAUCGUUGAAAUCAAGGUUACAUUCUGCAAACGUAACAUCGACGUAAUCACCUUCAACAUAUCGGAUUUCUGGUUUUUUAUCAGAGGAAGGAAACACGAUCAAGUUGCCAACGAAUGGAAAAAAAUGUUGAAGGGUGAUUGAUAACGACUUUUUCAGGUUGGGGACGAUGGUUUCAGUGAAGUGUGAUUUAGUGAUUGGGAUGUCAUAGAAGAAGACAGCGUUAAUAGGAGGUUCGGUUAGCCAUAAGAAGUCGAAGAAAGUAAGUGGCAGCGAUCUGUUGGUUACUGUGGCCGGAGGUGGCGAUACUUGCGACUCUUCAAGAAUAGUCAAGAUUGGAAAGGAACCCAUUUUGAAUCAGCAGCCUCUGAUUGUUUUAAUGUCCCAAAACUAGUGGCGUUAUUUAUAUAAGGAUAAGGUGACGAUGAGAAAUUCAAAUUGGUGACUUCAUAUAUGUGGUUGUAAACUUUUUAUUGAUGUGGCCAUCUUUAUAAACUAGAUUCUAGAUUUUUGAAUACCAUAAAAUUUUCGUACAGGUGGAUAUGUAAAUUUUUUAAUUUAAAUUUAAAUCUUCAUAAUAUUGGUAAACACUAGGUGUGAAACCCGUAUAUUAUACGGGUUAAUUAAAACAUAAUGUUAAAUAGGAACGAUUAAAUGAGAAGUUUAUUUGAAUUUGAAAUAUGAAAUUAAUUAAAAUUAUGAAAGAAACAUGCAAAAAAUAUAUUAAUUAAAAUUAUGCGUUUAAUUGUUAGACCCGUGUACUAAACGAGUUAUUAUAAUAAAAUGUUAAAUACAAAGGUUUAAAAUGUAAAUUUAUUUGAAAUUGAAAUUUUAAAUUAAUAGUUAUUAUAGUAGGUUUAAUUUAUAGAAACUAAAUUAAUGAUAUAGUGGAAAUGAAUAAUGAAGUAAUUGACAAGUGGGAAAUAAAUAUAUUUCAAAAUUAUGACAAAAUGACAUAUGACCAAUUAAAUAAGAGAAUGACAAGUGGCAAUAACAUUUUCAUUUAUUAGGGUAGAUUAGGAAAUUUCUAUAUGUAGUCGGUCUCUCCUUAUUGGAUUUAUUCAUAAUUUAUGUUACCCAGGGUAUUUAUAGUAACACCCAAAAAUUAUGAUGCAAUUAGUUGAUUAAACUUUUAUUGUUAGUGUUGACUGUUGAAUCUGUAUUUAAGAUAAUUAAAAAAAAAUCAAUGUGUUAUUAGUUUUGCUUUUCAUAUGUAUUAUAUUUUUUUUUAAAUAAGAUUAUUUUUAAAAUGACUUACGUACGUACAUACAACAUUACUAUUAUAAAUUUACACAUUUAGUUUAAAAGCAUCUCAUUUUAUAACUAUAUUUUUGUUUUCAUAAACACCUUAAUCCUGCUAAUUUUGGUUUGUUAGGUCAUUAUCAAAUAAACAAUUUGACAAUAUUACCAUGAUUUAGUACAACUUUUAUUAUAUGUACUCUUUAUUAUUGCACAUGGUGUGAAUAACUGAAAGCGAAAUUUCAUAAUCAGAGAUCCAAAGUCAUGUGAAGUUUGGUGCCAGUUGUUUAUUCUGUGGUGAAGUUUGGUGUGAGUUUGUGGGUACAAUCUUGUCUCAAUUUUCUGACAUACUGUUUUAAAAGAAUGAUACUUUUAGGCUACAUGAAUGAACGGAAAAGGGGGAAGUUUGAAUUGAAUUGCACUUCAGUUGUUUUCUGUGUGUAUUACAAUAUAAUGUCAAAUUUUAUUCACAGAGUCACUUAGAAGAAGUUACAAGACUCCUAAGAGUGGGCAACACCCACCAUUGUUAUUAGCUAAAAACACUUAAAAACGCAUGGAACACCGCGGCACUUGGUGUUAUUAGAUGUGUUAUUAAGAUGUAGUAUCGGGAAAUAACACUCAAUCAAAUCAUUUUUUAAUAUUUUUCUCUCGAUAUCUUUCCUCAUAACAUUAUGUUAUAACAUGUAAUAAUAUUUGGAACAUCACCCCCACUUUAUUUUAUAACAUGUAAUAAGAACACUAUUGUCCACACCUAAUAGCCUAAGGCUACAAAAAGUGGAGGAGGAAAUGUAUGGGAACCAUACCUUUAGGUAGUGGGGAGAAAGGGUGAAAGGAGGAUAUACUCUCAUUUUCUCAUAAUUUGAUUGGCUAUUUCUAUAUUUUGUAUUUUCUUUAUUGUUUUUUGCUUCAUAUAUAUAUANNNNNNNNNNNNNNNNNNNNNNNNNNNNNAUUUUUCGAGAACCCGAGUACUAAAAGUUAAGCGUUUGAUCAAAAGUAAUUUAUUAAGGAUAUUAUCGUCAUCUUACUAGUUUUAUUUAAUGUUUAAUUUUUUUGUGGUAUUUAACAUAUUAAUAUAAAUGUCUAAAAAUUUACAUUAUAAAUCAAAUUUUCAUAUUUUCUUAAAAAUAGUAUUUUUUUUGUUUUUUUUUUUUUUUUUAUUUUUAAAUGCAGAUUUUUUUAAUUUUUUAUAGAAAACAUGAAUUUUUGAAAAAAAAACAUUUGAAAAAAAUAGUUUUUUUUUUUAAACUGCAAUUUUUUUUUAAAAAACUGUAAUUUUUUUUAAAAAAAAAAACUGCAUUUUUUUUUCAAAAAAACUGUAUUUAUUUUUUCAAAAAAGCUGCAUUUUUUUUAAAAGAAAGCUGCAUUUUCUUUUUCAUAAAAAACAAUAUUUUUUUUAAAAUAACUGCAUUUUUAAAUAAAAAACUACAAGUUUUUUUUAAAGAAAGUUACAUUUUUUUACAAAAAAAAACUAUAUUUUUUAGAGCGGAUUCACCCAGCCUAUUAUCCAUUCGAUAUUAGUUAUAUAUAUGUUUCGUAUACAUCAGUUCAUCAUAAGAGGUACCAGGUAUGAGUCAGGUCAGAGGACACUAAUUCAAUGCACAUUUUUCUAGUACAAAACAUACUUUUCAAAUCAAAACUUUGGAUAUGCAAAACUAGAAGCUUACCAGUAAAGCGUUUAACCCACGAACACCCACGGGAGUGUUCGUAUAAGGACUUCAUGAGAUGCAAACCCAAAUCCUUCAAUGGAUAUGGAGGAGUCAUCGCUCUAAUGCGAUGGUUCGAGAAAACAGAUUCGGUCUUCGAAAUCUGUUCCUGCCCAGAACGGAGCAAAGUCAAGUUUGUUGCCUGCACCUUCUCCGGCAUAGCCCUAACGUGGUGGAAUAGUCAUGUUAAGUCACUGACCCUAUCAGUGGCUAACUCAAGAGGUUGGGAAAACCUAAAAGAGUUGAUGCUGGAAGAAUACUGCUUGAGGGGCGAAUUUCAAAAGCUAGAAUAGGAACUAUGGAUGUAUACCAUGAUUGGCUCAGACAUACUGACCUACACUGACAGGUUUUGCGACUUAGCAACACUAUGCCCUGAGAUGGUUACUCCAGAGAAUAAGAAGAUAGAAAGGUACAUCUGGGGUCUAACUGCCCCUACCCAAGGAGAUGUUCUGUCUUCUAACCCAGCCACAUUCGAUAGCUGCAAACACUUGACCCAACGAAUCAUCGACCAUAGAGUCCACCAUGGCAUGGAUGUCCUAGUUCCCGAGCCAUCAAAAGGAAAGGACUAUAAACGGAAAUCGGGGAACAAGAGGAAGAAGAAGCGAACAACACCGGAGCCCCGACAAGGGAAACAUACGAGUACUAUGUACGCCGCUCCAACGCCUGCUGCUCCAGCACCUGCCAGUCGAUAUGCUGGAACCCAUCCGAAGUGUAGAAAGUGCAACUACCACCACACCGGAGUAUGCCGGGAAAUGCAGUGUCUGAACUGCCACAGAAAGGGACACACAUUCCGUUUCUGCAGGGCACCAACUCAACCGAUCUCACAAAUCUCCGGAGUUGAAGAAAACCAAGCCUGCUAUGGCUGUGGCGAGACUGGACACUACCAGAGGGACUGCCCGAUAGUGAAGAAAUCAGGUGCAGAUGGACGCAUUCUGAUGAUCACCGCAGGAGAAUCAACCCCGGAGUCGCCAACGAGCAGCGAUACGUUUUCGAAAUAGUAAUUACUUUAAAAUAAAAUUAAUUUAUAUUUAUAUAUAAGAUUAAAACUUGGGGAAAACACUUAAAAAUAAUUAUAAUAUCCCACUUAUUGAAACAAGUCGUAGUAUUCAGAAGAACUAAAGGAUCCAUUCAGAGAAGCUAUGAUGGCUUAGCAUAUACAUCAGUGUUGUGCAUAGCUAAGAUGUUGUAGACUGAGAGUGAGUGAGUCUGCCUUAAUUCCCGUUCCUUGUUUGGUUGUGGAUUUGAGGCAGAGUUACUCAGUCGACUGUCUUAUUCAUCUUAAUUAUUCAUAACUUGUAUAUGACAGGCGAUCAUAGUGGUACCAAGGAGGAUCGUAGUAUAAACUAUCGACACUAGUUAUCAAAACACUUUCUUUGGUAUGUACUCGCACAUCGCGAUACGAUACAUAGGAGUGUUAACAUCAAGGGGAAAAACAGAAAGCACUAGAACAUUUACAAAGAGUACAUUGUCGAACACACUAGGGGUACAUCAUCGUAUAACAAGCGUUCUUUCAAAUCGGGCAAAACUUUGUUCAGUAAAGAGUUCGUUACUAUCUUUCGUCAUGAGUUGGCGUGGUCCUCACCAUACUAAGUUCAUAUGUUUCUAUCGCCUCGAUCGUCAAGUUCUCGAAACAUUUGUCAUUCAUAUCGACAGUCUGACCUAAACCUCAGUUUUAUCUUUCGUAUUCAAAACCCCGAAGUACUCGUGCGAACGGUACGUUGUCCUCCGAAGCCUUGUCGGCAGAUGUCCGCAGACCGUCAUGAAAUACCACUUGUCCAUCAGACCAAGUUUGAGCACAGAGGAUAAGGAAAAAUACAACCCACCUAUCACUAUUUAGUGUAUACGCGAGGGUGGUAUAUGAUUAUGAUUUCACAGAUCUAGUAUGUGUGUUUUCGCCCUAUCGCUUGUUCCUUGUUUGGUUGUGCACCUGGGGCAGAGUCGCACAUCCGACCGUCUUACUAAUCCUAAUUAUAUACGACUUGUAUACAUGAGGUAAUGAUAGAUAGACCGAGUAUGAGUCCAAUCAUGAAUGCUAGGGCAAAAUUGCCAGGUCUACGAGUGAGUAUUCUGUAAAUCAGAGGAGCACAACACCAGUAGUAUUGUAAGAAAGAUAAUUUCAGGACGAAAUUCCAUCUAACGGGGGGGGGGGGGGGGGGGGGAAGCAAAUANNNNNNNNNNNNNNNNNGGGGGGGGGGAUGAUGUAACAACCUGAAAUUUUUUUGCUUUAUAAAUCCAACAGUCAACUCAACUGAGUGUCAUACUCGUUCCUGCUAUCAUUUAUCCUUGUUUAGAGUCCGUUCAAAGGUUCAAAGCUCAGUACAUUCAAGCAUUGAGUAAAGUAUUGGAUCGCGUACACGUAAAGCACCAAAAUUGAGCCUUACACUCCAACAUAAGGAGUGUAUGGCCGCACACCCCUCUCCUGGCAGCACACUCACAUGUAUAAGUAUAGAUCUUAGCCUUCUUUCAUUCCUUUUUACCCUCCCAAGUCUAGAACUCGAUUUCUGUCUCAACUAGCAUCCGAUUUUCAGCCUAGAUCUUCAAGAACGUAAGUACUCUUGCCCUUUUACUUGAAUCUUGUUUAGAACACUUGAUUUAAUCUUAGAAAAGGCCCAGAACUCAUAACCAUAUGGUGUGUGCGGCCGCACACACAUGUGUGGUCGUACACCCCUCAAAACAUCCUCAAACACCCUCAAAACACCCCUAAAAGCUUCCAUAUCGUGAGUUCCAUCCCCUAAGCUUGUUACUUACUAGAUAUGAGCCUUAGAAAUCGUCCAAACCAAGUUCAUCAAGGAGUGUGUGGCCGCACACACCCCAUGUGGCCGUACGCCCUUUUGUUUUGUGCUUAAGGGCCUCUAAAUGUGCCUUUUCGACUGUGACAACCAUAAAUUUUUUUACUUUUCAAGCCCAGUCAAUCAACUAAACUGAGUGUCAAACUCAUUGUAAAUGAGUUCUAGCCCGGUUAAUGGUCAUUCUUAGGAGUUUUGAGCCUAAUACACUUAAGGAAUAAGUGUUAGAAAGUACCUGCUAGAACCAUAGUGUAGCAAAUCAAACCAUAACCUCCUCAAAAUGAGUUCACGGCCAUAAGACCAUGAGUUUACAGCUGUAAACUCAUGUAGCCGUAAACUCAAGAGUAUAUAUAUGGUCCUUGGCCAUUUUUCUCAUUCUUUCCUUUCUUUGGCCGAUUUUCUUCAAAUCCUCUCAACUACCAUCAAGAUUUCCUUCCAAGAUCUUCACAUAAGUAAGAAUUCUUCCUAGAUUUGUUGAUACAUCUCUUAAUCUAGUAUCCUUAGAUGAGUUCAUCCAUGGAAAUCUUUCUUUUCUUAGAUCUUCAAGUUUCACCAAGAACACACACUAGUGUUCUUGGCCAAAACUGACCAUUUCAAGCUUCUAGAUUGUAAGUACACUUCCCUAUACUUCUUAUCUAGUUAGUAUCCAUGCUUAAGGACUUGAAAACAUCAAGAGCACAAGGACAAAAUGAGUUUACAGCCAAGCCAUCUCCCAUGGCCGUAAACCCCUUAAAGGGUGCCAUUUUGGCCGUCAACCCUCCUAGGUGCAAAGCUAGUGACCUAGAACCCUUCCUUGAUAGUUAUAGGACCUUAAAAUACUCUCGUAAACAUAAAUGGUCAUGAUUUUAUAGCUGUAAACUCCUUUGGGCCGUAAACUCAUCAAAAGCCUCUUUAGAAGUGGUAUUUCUCAUACUAGAGUAGAGCAAAAGUCCCUAAAUCUUCCGUAACCUUCAAACUUACACAUAUACAUGAGUGACCAUGAGUUUACGGCCGUAAACUCCCUUUGGUCGUAAACACAUGGUCGUAAACUCAUGUUGGUGUCAUUCUACCCUCCUUUGUUGAAUCACAGGUGAUUCCAACACUUGGACAAAGUGUUUCCUAGUCCCGUGAGGUGUUUACUUGCCUUUGGUUAUCCCUAAACCCUAUAUAUUGAUGCCAAUAUAUGUCAUUUAGGACUUAUUGUGUCUCAGGACUUCAUUCAUGUAACUUCUCAUCCUUAUGUGCGUAUUCGUUGAAUCACCCACAUCAGGUGAGUUCAUACCCUGUAAUGAAUCUUUUAACUGUUUUAAAUGCUUUAGGGGGGGAUACAAGUUGAACACAAUUNUAGGGGGAGGGGGGGGGGGGGGGGAUACAAGUUGAACACAAUUCAAAUUGUGUAAAAUGUUUGUUAUUAACAUAUUUCAAAAGAUUACUUAUGUCUUUUAUAAGGUAUCAAAACAUUUCAAAAACUCUUUUAAAGUUAUGUUACGUUUAGUUUGACAAAACUCUAUUUUUAAAGUACAAGCAUAACUUAGCAUAUAAACGAGUCUUUUCAAUAACAAGUUCAAGUAAAAUGUUAGUAAACUAUAAUAGGUAUAGUUUAGGAAGAUACUAUUCAUUACUUCUAGUACAAUGAAGCAUACAAAGAGUCAGUACAUACAUAAGUCAGAACAUACAAUAAGAGAAACAGAGAGAACAUACUAUACACUCGUACAUACAAUUCAUACAUACUAUACACUGUAUGGACAAAACAUACUGUACACAUAUUAGAAUGCUACAACAUGAAGUAAGAUACUACUUCUUUGGCAUAGUCGUCAACGGCUGUGUCGUAGUUGGCAAGUAGAGACUCCUUAAGGGAGAAUAUGAAUUUGUGUAUGGAUAUACAGUGGAUUAAUCAUCCCACACCUUGCUGCUAGCUACAUUGGGACCUGCAGGUCUACGGGUGACAAAAUAGAUCUAUACUAGACUGACUAUCCUACACCUUGCUGCUAGCUACAGUGGAACCUAUAGGUCUACAAGUGACAAAUGUCAUCACUGUUCGACGUAUUACAGCGUCGUGUUUAUACUAAGUCAAUCAAUAUGAUUACAAUCAUAUCACAUUUACCUUAAUCAUUAAUGGAUCUAAGGUGAUAGUAUAAUAGUAGUCACUAUAUACAACACUACAAUACUUACAUUUUCUCAUUCCUUUCAUAAAGUGAUAUUGCCACUUGAAAGUCAAAUACAAACUAUUUUUGUGUUAAGAUAGUUAUAAACUAGGGAAAACUUACAUUUUACAUACAUACAUAAUAUUUGAUGCCAUGGUAGAAGGCUACGUCUAGUAUAAAAAAGGGGCCAUAAUGCUAACCUUAUGAUUCCUUAAUGUAUACAACAAAGGAUAUAUAAGGAUAUAUAUAUAUAUAUAUAUAUAUUUAUAUAUAUAAACAAUUAGUCUUUAAACAACUAAUAAACAAAGUUAAGACACUCUAGGACAUGCUANNNNNNNNNNNNNNNNNNNNNNNNNNNNNNNNNNNNNNNNNNNNNNNNNNNNNNNNNNNNNNNNNNNNNNNNNNNNNNNNNNNNNNNNNNNCCUAUUAUCCAUUCGAUCUUAGUUAUAUAUAUAUAUAUAUAUAUAUAUAUAUAUAUAUAUGUGUGUGUGUGUGUGUGUGUGUGUUUCGUAUACAUUAAGUCAUCAUAAGGGUACCAAGUAUGGGUCAAGUCAUAGGACACAAAGUCAAUUCACAACUUUCUAGUUCCAAUCAUACUUUUCAAAUCAGAACUUGUGGUAUUCAAAACUAGAAACUUCCCAGUAAAGGGUUUAAUCCAUUUUAUUAAACCAGUAUAAACUUAAAGAACCUUAGGUAAUUAAAUCAAUAAUGCCUUAGUUUAUACAUCAUGGUUAUAUAUCAUUAAUACCCAAUAGGUAGUUGGAUGUGUGCUUUCCGCUUUACUUCCUGUUCCUUGUUUGGUUGUGGGCUUAGGGCAGAUUCACUCAAUUAACUAUCUAUCCGAGAUUAGAUUAUAUAUAGCCAGUAUAAACUAAGUAAUUAUACAAGUAAUCACAGUGGUCACCAUUUUGUAAUAAGAAAUAAGGGUUUUCUUAAAGAAUGUUUCCAUCAAAUAUAAAGGAACUAUUACAAUUAACUCCAUGAGUAGCAAGUGAAUGAUCCGGGUUAUAUUCAACAAUGAUCAAACAAAAAAUGGGAAGUGUGUUUUCCGCCUUAUGGCAGAUACGCACAAUCAAUUGUUUGUUUACUCUGAGUCUUAUAUAACUUGUAUCCAUUUAGUACUCAUAGAAAGGAUUGUAGAGUCAUUUUUGCUUAUCUUUCAUUAAAGUUGGAAAUAUAGGACUUUGUAGAGGAACAGGCAAACUUUUCUAAACAAAACUUACAACUUACUACAUUUUUCAACUACAUUUAACAACAACUUUCCACAACAUACUUACAUCACUAAAAUCUUAUGAACUUACCAAUUUAAUUGCUGAUAAACUCUUUCAAAUAACUUGUAUUCUCAGGAGACUAUUAGACAGGUACUUGUGCUGGGAACUCAGAAGUUGGAGCAUAGCAGCUUCAAGUUUUGUUUUGUUAUUUGUUUAUGUAUUCUAUGUUUUGUGAACACACACAUUGUGAACACUUUCUUUCUAAUGAAAUGGUGGUUUAUUACUUGCUUACUAUGAUACAUGUCUUGCGAUACUAAACAUAAUGUCCUCCACCCCCGAACGUUUCCGCCAUUUCGGUUUUGGGGUGAACUAAGUAUAUAAACUGAUAAAAGAUAUACAACUAUAAAUACAAUGGGGCUUAAGUGCUCUGGAUAAGAAUAUAUUUUACGAUUAUAAAAAUAAGUUAUAAAAAUAUACCUACUUGCAUAUACAUGUAGAACAAGUAUCACAAGAAGAACAAAAUUAAAGUAUGUAAAGGUUGAACACUGCCGUCAAACCUGAACAGUUAUGUAAUCAUAACUAGGAUCAAUAUAGACUGAUCAACUAUAUUCAUUCGAGAUGUGACCGACAUGUGUUUUGGAGCGAUGCGGUGUUGCAAGAGUCUUAAAACUUACCUAAACACCAGUCAAGAGAAUUAUAGAUCAAGUACAUAGAGUUAGAGUACUAUAGGAGUAUUUUAGGCACUACAUAAACAACUUACAUGAUAACAUAAAAGACCCUUAUGGAUAGGUCUAUAAUCUUACAAUGUAUACUCCCAAGGUUUUAUAUAAUUUAGAUCUUAUAGACUUAGAAUUUGUGAUUUACACUUCACUACCAUUCCUUAUUAAGUUGGGGUUUUGGAGUAGGAUCAUUUAUUCGACGGCCUAUCUGUCACAACUAGAAAUUUUUGAGUCUUGUAACUACAACACCUAAGUCAAAUUAUGAAUCAAAGACAUGAAAGCAUGCAUGAUACUUACUCUAUGACAACAAAACUUUAAUCAAACACUUCAUACAAGCACUACAAAUAGUCAACAAGCAAUUGGAAACCCUAGAAGUUCUUGUUUAGGUCCAUUUUGGACUAGGACUUCCUUAUUGGUCUCAAUGGACCAAUAAGCUUCCAAUUUGACUAUCUUGGGCUUAGAACUCUUAAAUGGGCUCUAAUUGGACCCACUUUCAUUUAUUUCAAUAUUUUGGGCCAUAUUGAGCCUAGAAUGAAAUAAAUUAAUUAUAUGAACCAUUUUGGGCCAUAAUUAACCUAAUUUAGCCCUAAUAGGUCAUAAAAAUUAUACCUUGAUUUAAUUCAGUCAAACAUCAUCUAACUUAACUAUAAUAUGGGCUUAGGGGCAAAAAGCCUAAAAAAAUCUCCUCUUUCCUCUCUCCAUUCUCGGCCCAAGCCCACAAAGAGGAAGAGUUGACUUUGUUGGGUGCCACCUCACUUUUACAUCAAGGAUCUCCAUGCAACACUCAUACAUCCAUGCAACUAUCUUAUCAAUUCUCUCUCUUCUCCCUUAUCUUUCUUCUCUCGGCCGAAUCCAAGCACACACACACCCACAUUUCACUCUCCGUUCUCUCAAGAAAACUCUCUCAUAUCUCCUCCGUAUUUUCGAGAUCCAAGAAGAGUUCAAGGGCUUCUUCCAUAAAAAUCAUCAUCUAAGGUACGAAAUUUCUUAGAUUCAUAAGCUAGUUACUUCAUUUCAUCAAAAAAAUCACCUCUUAAUUCAUUCAAACUCAUGAUCUAGCACCUAAGAAGCAUCUAAGUUCGAGAUCAUCCAAGGAAGGUUGCUAGGAUCGAAUUUCUUCUCAUUUUUCCUUCCAAAACCGAAACCACACCCAAGGUGAGCUUCAUACCCCCUAUUUUUCUGUUUUUAUAAGUUUUUGUAGGGGAGAAUACAAGCAAAUGUGUAGAUCUAUGAGUUCAUGUAUGCCUCGUGUGAUUUUUAUGCUUGUAUGUAUGAUUCUAUGUGUUAUGUGAUGAAUAUGUUAGCCAAAAAUACCUAAAAACCAUGAUCUAUCACAUGAGGAGUGAAACAAACAUAACUUAUACCAUUUUACACUAAUCAAGUCAAUAAAAAUAAUUUAUUUGGUUAGUAUGAACAUUUUUGGACAUAAAACCCAUUUUUGGGCUCAAAUUGUCAAAAAUACAAAACCUAAGGGCCCAAAUUAACAAAUGAUAAUUUCUGGACGUUGGAAAGAGUCCAAACAGUUUCUAAUAAGAAUUUUCUGAAAAUCAACAUUUUUGAGGGGCUUAAAAUGUAAAAUUUUAACCUAAUGGGCUUUUCGGCCCAAUAAGCCCCAAAUUGCGAAAAUUCUGAAAUAGAGGGGCUGAAACAGCAAAUUUCUGUAAAACAGGGGAUUACUAGUGUAAUAAAACUAAUUCAAGGGUUAAAAAUGUUUUCAAAGUCAAAAGGGAUCAAAAAUGCAAAAAUUUUCCAUUUUGAGCCAAAACUGUAAAGUUGCGAAAGUAAGGGUUCCAACCGAGAGAAAACCAUUUUUGAAGGACAUAAGCUGUUUAUCAAGUAAAUCUAGGCUGAAAAUGUCUUUUUAAUAAGUUUUGAUACUAAAGUGUCAAGAAAAAUGGUUUAAGGACUAAAAUGGAAGUUCUUUUAUAUAAAUGGUUAAAAGUGUAAAUUUUAUCCAAGAAGGGUCAUAAAAAGGUAAACUCUUAUUUUUUUUAAAACAAUAAAUCCCUUAAAAUAAAAUACGAGUACCUCGACUACAGGCGAAACGUAAUAACAAAUACGCUUUCAACACCAAUAUCGUUAUCAAACGAAUUGAUUCGGUCUCGAAUCAAUAACGAAUCAAAAAUCAAUAAACAAUAAGUACUUCAAUAAACACGCGAAAAUUCACGAGAAGUCAAUAUUCAAACUUUGGGCUUGAAAGUUUCAAAUCGUGCUUGUUGGGCCUAGCUAGCCCAAUGACAUGAUAUUUGAGCCCGAAGGGAACGCGCUUACGUGUUAUUGGGCCUUCUAUGACCUAAUUCCAUGUAAAAGGAAUUUCAAUAGCUUUAUUGUGUUGUUGGGCCCCAAGGGCCCAUUGGUACUGCUAGCAAAGUCGAGAAGUCAAAUGCGAGUUGGGCCAAGUGCCUUUCGCAUUCACGAUAGCCUUGAACGACUUAUGGAAAUAACGAGAGCUUCAUACCAUCUUUUCUCCUCAGUUGUGGGGCUAUGAGAAGUCAGGGUGGUUGGAUUAAGUGAGUCUUACGGACGACGCCUAAAGGAUCGUUUGUAAUUGGUAGUUAUAGACUAGUCAUCUUCAUUGAUGCGUGAAUAUAACGACUCACAACCCAUAAUUAAUCCAAUGUCACAUGGAAUUAUCGGAAACAAUCGUCGAAUCGGUAUAACAAUAAACAAGACACGAAAUCCUAUGUAUGAGGAAAACAUCGGGUUUUCCCGGGAAGUUCAACACCUUUAUCUAUGUGAUGUAUACAAGGUUUAACAAUUAUACACGUUUACGAAAAUCAACAAGCAUACUACGGAUCUCCACACUUUUUAUAAACAACACUCUUUUCAGAAAAUAUCAGAUUUUCUAGUUUUCAAACUACACAAAAAUCAUUAUUUUUCAAACAUGACUUAUGAACUCACCAACAUUUCAUAUAUUGACGUUUUCCAAAAUACUUGUAUUCUCAGGUAACAGGUAAAUUGAAGAAUAUGUAUCCAGUGAUGUUACGGUGUUUUGUUUAAUUUAGUAUCGAACGGUUUAAAUUAUGGAAAUGUAACGUUUAAAACAAUGUACUGAAUGUAACAAUAUCAGUUGUACUAUUUCAAUGCUUGGUGAUGAAUGAUGUUAUGAUUCAUGUAGAAUCAUUGUGAUGGUAUUCAAUUGAUUCACAAUAGCCCUCGGACGUUUCCGCCGUCUGGUUCGGGGGUGUGACAGGUUGGUAUCAGAGCUCUGUUUAUAGUGAACUAGCAUAUCUAACCACACAUUGAUAUGCAACUAUAAACCAAAAGAGGGACUAACACAACUUUGAACAAUACAAGUAAAACAUAACAAUAAAACACCCUUGCUUGCAUUAGGAACAAGAACAUAACGCAGCACUAAACAAGAUAAUGCUAGUAUCCCGGUUAAUCCAGGACUGUUCUUAGUGGUAUCAAGGAGCGAAUGUAGCCUGAUCAACUAUAUUCCCUCCAAGAUAUAACUAUCACACGUUCUGAUGAGAUCGUGAUAGCUAGGGAACCAAAAAAUAUACCCCUUUAGCACUAAAAGGAGAACAUUCGUUUAGUCUGUACAAUAGUUGUAGCGUCCUAGGAAUAAUGUAGCAUAUUUAUACACUCUCGCAGACAGCAUGGCUGGUUUCCAUCACCUCGGAGAUCCUUACUUCCCUAACCAGGGAAAUAACGGAUGGUUAGACGAGGAGCCUGAGGAAGAGCCUGAGGAAGACCCCAAAGAGGAAUCUGACCGGGAACCAGAGGUAGGAGUCGAGGGCGAGCCUGCCGAACCAGAAGAGGAACAGGAGGAGGAAGAAGAUGAAGGAAGCUUUGUAGAGGAACCCAAUGACAGUGAAGGGGGUGAUUCGGACGCGGAGUCCGAAGCCAUCAACCCCCCUUACCCGAUUAGGGUGCCUGCUUACCGAGUGGGCCCCACUGGUCCUACACCCCUAGGGUAUUGAUCUUUGGAGGUGGAGCAGACAACAAGGAAGCAACCACAACAACAACAACACAAACACUGGCGGGAACAAUGCCGGACCUAGCCACGCCUGCUAUAGGUGUGGAAGAACUGGGCAUUUUCGCCGCGAUUGCCCUAACAACAACAAUCCCGGAAAUAGAGGGACGAGAAGGGUGCUGGCUAUGGGUCGGGGGGAGGCAAUUCAGGAUCCCGCUGUUGUUACCGGUACGUUUCCCUUAAACCACACUUAUGCAUGGAUCCUGUUUGACACCGGAGCAAAACGAAGCUUUGUGAGCAAUAAGUUUAAACACUAUUUAAAACAACAACCCCAGAAGCUCAAUGAAACCUUUACGAUGGAAAUGGUCAAUGGGAAAACCGAAUCCACAGGGGAAAUCUACAUCGGAUGUACCCUAACCCUGAACCAACACGUCUUUCGAAUAGACUUAAUGCUUGUUUCCAUUAGGAGUUUCGAUGUGAUUAUUGGCAUGGACUGGUUAAGCCUCUACCAUGCUGAAAUUAUGUGUCACGAGAAGGUCGUUCGUCUUCGCCUUCCUAAUCACGAAACCCUAGUUAUUUACGGAGACAAACAGAGCACGAGCAUUCGCAUCAUCUCGUGCAUCUAGGCACAGAAGCAUCUACGAAAGAAAGAUUUGACGUUCUUGGCUCACAUAGUGGAUAAAACCAAGGAAGAGGUUAACAUUCAAGACAUUCCAGUAGCACGUGAAUUCCCAGACGUAUUUCCUGAAGAUCUUCCUGGAGUACCCCCAGAGAGACAAGUUGAGUUCCGAAUUGACCUCGUUCCAGGAGCAACCCCUCUCGCUAAAUCGCCCUACCGGCUAGCUCCUGCUGAAAUGCAGGAAUUGUCCAGUCAACUCAGCGAACUCCUGGGCAAGGGAUUCAUCCGACCUAGUUACUCGCCAUGGGGAGCUCCGGUCCUGUUUGUCAAAAAGAAGGACGGAUCUUUUAGGAUGUGCAUCGAUUACAGAGAGUUAAACAAACUCACUGUCAAAAAUCGCUAUCCACUCCCACGAAUCGACGAUCUAUUUGACCAGCUCCAAGGAGCUAGUUACUUUUCUAAGAUAGAUCUACGGUCCGGAUACCAUCAACUCAAAGUCCGGGAAGAGGAUAUUCCUAAAACCGCUUUCCGAACUCGUUACGGACAUUAUGAAUUUGUCGUAAUGCCCUUCGGUCUAACAAAUGCCCCUGCCGCAUUUAUGGAUCUGAUGAACCGAAUCUGUCGACCAUUCCUCGACAACUUUGUAAUCGUCUUCAUUGACGACAUUCUCGUCUAUUCCCGAAGCGAAGAAGAGCAUGGCCAACAUCUCCGACAAAUCCUAGAAACCCUGCGAACGGAAAAGCUAUACGCAAAACUCUCUAAGUGUGACUUCUGGCUCCGUAGCGUGAACUUCUUAGGUCAUGUUGUUAGUCGGGAAGGAAUUCAUCUGGAUCCUUCUAAGGUCAAAGCUGUCGAAGGAUGGGCAGUCCCGACAACACCCACAGAAAUCCGUCUAUUCUUAGGCCUAGCAGGCUACUAUCGGAGGUUCAUUCAAAACUUCUCUAAGAUCGCCAAGCCACUUACCUCGCUUACACAAAAGGGCAUACCAUUCAAAUCGAUGGACAAACAAGAAGUUGCAUUCCGAACCCUGAAGCAAGCCCUCUGUAGUGCCCCGGUACUAUCUCUACCAGAGGGAACGGAAGAUUUCGUGGUCUACUGUGACGCGUCGAAUCAGGGUUUAGGUUGCGUUCUCAUGCAGCGUGGAAGAGUGAUAGCUUACGCAUCCCGCCAACUAAAGACACACGAAGUGAAUUAUACAACCCAUGAUUUGGAAUUGGGAGCCGUGGUCUUUGCUCUGAAGAUUUGGAGGCAUUACCUUUAUGGUACGAAGUGCACCAUCUUCACGGACCACAAAAGUCUCCAGCACAUCUUGAAUCAGAAAGAGCUGAAUAUGAGGCAACGAAGAUGGGUUGAAUUAUUAAACGAUUACGAGUGUGAAAUCAAGUACCACCCGGGCAAGGCCAACGUGGUAGCUGAUGCAUUGAGCCGGAAGGAGUAAUCUAAUCGUCGUGCGAAAACUCUCUCAAUAACCAUUCAAUCUCACCUAACCACUCAGAUUGGGGUAGCCUAGUCAGAGGCCAUGAUGACGGAAAAUAGAGCUAUUACGUGGAAUGGAGAAGAAUCUAGAGGAAAAAGAGAACGAAGUAUACUAUUUCAUGAACCGUAUUUGGGUCCCUAAACAUGGAGGGUUUAGAGAGGUAGUCAUGAAUGAAGCUCACAAGACGCGAUACUCCAUCCAUCCCGGUUUGGACAAGAUGUACUUGGAUAUUAAACAACAUUAUUGGUGGCCUAACAUGAAGGCAGAAAUUGCCACCUAUGUCAGCAAAUGCCUUACUUGUGCCAAAGUAAAGGUGGAGUACCAGAAGCCCUCGGGGUUAUUACAGCAACCGGUGAUCCCCGAGUGGAAAUGGGAAGGGAUUUCUAUGGAUUUUGUGACCAAGCUACCCAAGACGUCAGAUGGACUAGACACCAUAUGGGUAAUAGUCGACCGACUGACGAAAUCCGCUCAUUUCCUGCCAAUAAAAGAAUCCUACAAGAUGGAGAGACUGACACGAUUAUACAUUCGAGAAAUCGUGACACUCCAUGGAGUACCAGUGUCUAUUAUCUCGGAUAGAGACAGUAGAUUCACUUCACGUUUUUGGCAAUCACUUCAGAAAGCACUUGGAACCCAUUUCGACAUGAGCACCGCUUAUCACCCACAAACGGAGGGUCAAAGCGAACGAACCAUCCAGACGCUCGAAGACAUGCUUCGCGCAUGUGUGAUAGACUUUGGGAAGUCUUGGGAUACCCACUUACCCUUAGUUGAAUUCUCGUAUAACAACAGUUACCAUUCGAGCAUCAAGGUAGCUCCUUUCGAAGCACUAUAUGGGCGUAAGUGUAGAUCACCGUUGUGUUGGGCUGAGGUGGGCGACACCCAGCUAGCAAAGAAACUGGCAUCGAACAAGGCAUUAACGGGACCGGAGAUCAUGCGUGAAACCACGAAAAAGAUAGUUCAAAUCAGAGCUCGACUACAAGCAUCGCGCGACCGACAAAAGAGUUACGCCGAUAAACGGCGAAAGCCGUUAGAGUUUCAGGUCGGGGAUCGAGUGCUGUUAAAAGUAUCACCUUGGAAGGGGGUCAUUCGUUUUGGAAAACGGGGAAAACUGAACCCACGAUACAUUGGACAUUUCGAAAUCGUUACCCGAAUAGGUCCAGUGGCGUAUAAACUGCAACUACCCGCUGAGCUAAGCAGUGUACACCCCGUGUUCCAUGUUUCCAACCUAAAGAAGUGCCUAUCAGAUGAAACUCUCGUCAUUCCCCUUGACGAAAUUGAAAUCAACGAGAAUCUCCUGUUCGUCGAAGAACCAGUUGAAAUCAUGGACAUGGAGGUGAAGCGUACUAAGCAAAGUUGCAUCCCGAUCGUGAAAGUACGGUGGAACGCGAAGUGUGGGCCAGAAUUCAUGUGGGAACGAAAUUACCAAAUGAAGCAAAAGUACCCUCACCUAUUCUAGCAUUCUCAAAUCUAUCUUUCAAAAGAAUUUUGGGAUGAAAUUCCCUCUAACGGGGGGAUGAUGUCACAACUAAAUUUUUUUGAGUCUUGUAACUACAACACUUAAGUCAAAUUAUGAAUCAAAGACAUGAAAGCAUGCAUGAUACUUACUCUAUGACAACAAAACUUCAAUCAAACACUUCAUACAAGCACUACAAAUAGUCAACAAGAAAUUGGAAAUCCUAGAAGUUCUUGUUUAGGUCCAUUUUGGACUAGGACUUCCUUAAUGGGCCCAAUGGACCAAUAAGCUUCCAAUUUGACUAUCUUGGGCUUAGAACUCUUAAAUGGGCUCUAAUUGGACCCACUUUCAUUUAUUUCAAUAUUUUGGGCCAUAUUGAGCCUAGAAUGAAAUAAAUUAAUUAUAUGAACCAUUUUGGGCCAUAAUUAACCUAAUUUAGCCCUAAUAGGUCAUAAAAAUAAUACUUUGAUUUAAUUGAGUCAAACAUCAUCUAACUUAACUAUAAUAUGGGCUUAGGGGCAAAAAGCCCAAAAAAAAAUCUCCUAUUUCCCUUCUCCAUUCUCGGCCCAAGCCCACAAAGAGGAAGAGUUGACUUUGUUGGGUGCCACCUCACUUUUACAUCAAGGAUCUCCAUGCAACACUCAUACAUCCAUGCAACCAUCUUAUCAAUUCUCUCUCUUCUCCCUUCUCUUUCUUCUCUCGGCCGAAUCCAAGCACACACACACCCACAUUUCACUCUCCGUUCUCUCAAGAAAACUCUCUCACAUCUCCUCCGUAUUUUCGAGAUCCAAGAAGAGUUCAAGGGCUUCUUCCAUAAAAAUCAUCAUCUAAGGUAAGAAAUUUCUUAGAUACAUAAGCUAGUUACUUCAUUUCAUCCAAAAAAAUCACCUCUUAAUUCAUUCAAACUCAUGAUCUAGCACCUAAGAAGCAUCCAAGUUCGAGAUCUUCCAAGGAAGGUUGCUAGGAUCGAAUUUCUUCUCAUUUUUCCUUCCAAAACAGAAACCACACCCAAGGUGAACUUCAUACCCCCUAUUUUCUGUUUUUAUAAGUUUUAUGGGGGAGGAUACAAGCAAAUGUGUAGAUCUAUGAGUUCAUGUAUGCCUCGUGUGAUUUUUAUGCUUGUAUGUAUGAUUCUAUGUGUUAUGUGAUGAAUAUGUUAGCCAAAAAUACCUAAAAACCGUGAUCUACCACAUGAGGAGUGAAACAAACAUAACUUAUACCAUUUUACACUAAUCAAGUAAAUAAAAAUAAUUUAUUUGGUUAGGAUGAACAUUUUUGGACAUAAAACCCAUUUUUGGGCUCAAAUUGUCAAAAAUACAAAAGCUAAGGGCCCAAAUUGACAAAUGAUAAUUUUUGGAGGUUGAAAAGAGUCCAAACAGUUUCUAAUAAGAAUUUUCUGAAAAUCAACAUUUUUAGGGGCUUAAAAUGUAAAUUUUUAACCUAAUGGGCUAAAAAUGGGCUUUUCGGCCCAAUAAGCCCCAAAUUGCGAAAAUUCUGAAAUAGAGGGGCUGAAACUGCAAAUUUCUGUAAAAAAGGGGAUUACUAGUGUAAUAAAACUAAUUCAAGGGUUAAAAAUGUUUUCAAUGUCAAAAGGGAUCAUAAGUGCAAAAAUUUUCCAUUUUGGGCCAAAACUGUAAAGUUGCGAAAGUAAGGGUUCCAACCGAGAGAAAACCAUUUUUGAAGGACUUAAGCUGUUUAUCAAGUAAAUCUAGGCAGAAAAUGUCUUUUUAAUAAGUUUUGAUACUAAAGUGUCAAGAAAAAUGGUUUAAGGACUAAAAUGGAAGUUCUUUUAUAUAAAGGGUUAAAAGUGUAAAUUUUAUCCAAGAAGGGUCAUAAAAAGGUAAACUCUUAUUUUUUUUUAAAACAAUAAAUCCCUUAAAAUAAAAUACGAGUACCUCGACUACCGGCGAAACGUAAUAACAAAUACACUUUCAACACCAAUAUCGUUACCAAACGAAUUGAUUCGGUCUCGAAUCAAUAACGAAUCAAAAAUCAAUAAACAAUAAGUACUUCAAUAAACACGCAAAAAUUCACGAGAAGUCAAUAUUCAAACUUUGGGCUUGAAAGUUUCAAAUCGUGCUUGUUGAGCCUAGCUAUCCCAAUGACAUGAUCUUUGAGCCCGAAGGGAACGACCUUACAUGUUAUUGGGCCUUCUAUGACUUAAUUCCAUGUAAAAGGACUUUCAAUAGCUUUAUUGUGUUGUUGGGCCCCAAGGGCCCAUUGGUACUGCUAGCAAAGUCGAGAAGUCAAAUGCGAGUUGGGCCAAGUGCCUUUCGCAUUCACGAUAGCCUUGAACGACUUAUGGAAAUAACGAGAGCUUCAUACCCUCUUUUAUCCUCAGUUGUGGGGCUAUGAGAAGUCAGGGUGGUUGGAUUAAGUGAGUCUUACGGACGACGCCUAAAGGAUUGUUUGUAAUUGGUAGUUAUAGACUAGUCAUCUUCAUUGAUGCGUGAAUAUAACGACUCACAACCCAUAAUUAAUCCAAUGUCACCUGGAAUUAUCGGAAACAAUCGUCGAAUCGGUAUAACAAUAAACAAGAGACGAAAUCCUAUGUACGAGGAAAACAUCGGGUUUUCCCGGGAAGUUCAACACCUUUAUCUAUGUGAUGUAUACAAGGUUUAACAAUUAUACACGUUUACGAAAAUCGACAAGCAUACUUCGGAUCUCCACACUUUUUAUAAACAACACUCUUUUCAGAAAAUAUCGGAUUUUCUGGGUUUUCAAACUACACAAAAAUCAUUAUUUUUCAAACAUGACUUAUGAACUCACCAACAUUUCAUAUGUUGACGUUUUCCAAAAUACUUGUAUUCUCAGGUAAUAGUUAAAUUGAAGAAUAUGUAUCCAGUGAUGUCACGGUGUUUUGUUUAAUUUAGUAUCGAACGGUUUAAAUUAUGGAAAUGUAACGUUUAAAACAAUGUACUGAAUGUAACAAUAUCAGUUGUAGUAUUUCAAUGCUUGGUGAUGAAUGAUGUUAUGAUUCAUGUAUAAUCAUUGUGAUGGUAUUCAAUUGAGUCACAAUAGCCCUUGGACGUUUCCGCCGUCUGGUUUGGGGGUGUGACACUAUCUAAUCUUAAAUUAUAUACAACUUGUAUACAUUGUACAAUUAUAGCAUGACUAUGUAAGGAUCACCCCAUAAAGUUACCUUAAAUCUCAUAGAUUCUUUAGUCACAUUCAUUCUCACACGACAAACCUAGGUAGAUGUAACCACUUCCUCAUCGUAGAUAACAGAGGAGUCAAGGAGGAACAAGAGCAAGUUCAUGAGAAGUUUUUAAAGAAGGAUCAACUGAAGUAAGCAAAACGUCUGACACGUCACACUAAUAAAUAAUAAUCUUGUUAAAUUAAUGAGCGAGUGGAGACAUUGCUCACAUUAUGUGUUAGGAUUAUUUUCUUACAUGUAACUGGUAAUAGUUAUUUAGGAAACAGAUGUUCAUUCGAGGAUAGCCAUUUCAAAUUCAUAAGAGUUUAUUAGGUAUAGACUCUUUUAUGAAUUGUUUCUAGAACCCUGUGGAAUUCAGGACCCGAUACACUCAGAACUAGGAUAACCUUUUCUUUUUAGCUUUCGGAUUAUGUCCAUUUCUCUAGACGUAUUCCGUCUCAUCUUUGUAUUCUUUUAGCAAAGAUGUCUCCUCGCAGAUCAAUCAGACGCACUAUUCCGAUAACUCCAACACCUUCUACACAAAUCAAUGCAACAACUCUAAAUGCUGCAGUAGCUGCGCCUGUGGCAACAACCAUGACUCAAUAUCAUCCUACCAGUUCCAGCGGAGGUGGAACACCUGUUCAUCGCUCUGAUGCGAUGGUUCGAGACAAUAGAUUCAGUCUUCAAAAUCUGUUUGUGCCCAGAAGGGAGCAAAAUGAAGUUUGUUGCUUGCACCUUCUCCAACAAAACCCUGACAUGGUCGAACAGCCAUGUUAAGUCACUGACCCUAUCAGUGGCUAACUCAAUAGGUUAGGAAAGCCUGAAAGAGUUAAUGUUGGAAGACUACUGCCCACGGGGUAAGGUACAAAAGUUGGAACAAGAACUAUGAGAGUUCAAGAUGGUCGGCUCAGACAUAGUGGCCUACACUGACAGGUUUAGUGACCUGGCAGCACUAUGCCCCGGGAUGGUUACCCCGGAGAGCAAGAAGAUAUAACGAUACAUUUGGGGUCUGACUUCCCCGACCCAAGGUAAUGUACUAUCUUCUAACCCAACCACAUUUAAUAGCGCUAAAUGUUUGGCCUAAGGACUCAUUGACCACGGAUUACGCCAUGGUGUAGAAGUCCUCGCUCCCGAGCCAUCAAAGGUGUGACAACCUGAAAUUUAUUCCGUCGCUGUAACCCAUUUCCGUUAAUAAAACUCGUUUUUAUUAAAUUUUUCCGUUGACAUUUGCAUUAGGCAAAUUAAAUUGAGACUUUUAUUAUGACUUCAUAAGUGUCAAAACGGAAUAAAAACACGUUAAACACCCUCGAAUUCAUUUGGAAAAGUUUUUAGUUUAUGACCAUGUCGGGUUACGACCAUUUAAUCGGGUACGACCAUAAACUCCGUUUAACGUCGGGAUCGGGUGGAUCCCCCCCUAGCCGCAAACUCAAACCCUAUAUAAGGGUUGAGUGGCCUUCAUUUGAGUCUUUUCCCACUCCUAAAGCUCUCUCUCUCUACUCUCUCUCUACAACUCGAUUUUUGAUCAAGAAAUGCCCCUUUCAAGCUCCAAAAUCGUAAGCAAUCCUUCCUAGCUUGUUGUUUAGCUUGGUAUGCAUGAAAAUUCGUGAUUAAAUCAUUCAAAAGCCUCAAAAACUUGUGUUUACGGUUGGGGAACACCUCCCAAAACCGUAAACUCCCAUAAGUGUGUUUUGAAGCCCCAAAACCCCUCCAAAACCAUUCUAAUGCUUAGCUAUGACUUAGAAACUACCAUGCAUGAACUUAGAACCCCAAAAUCAUGCAUUAAUGGGAGUAACCAUGAGUUUACGGCCUAUGAAUGAGAGUUUACGACCGAUGAAUGUUCUUGGGCCGUAAACUCCCUUAAAGGGUGCAAAGUUGCCCUUUCUUCCUUCCUUAUGCCUAGAACUCAACAUAGAAUCAACCACCAGCAAAGUAGGGACCUUAAACAUCAAAGAAACCAAGACCUUAUAGAGUUUACGGCCGUAAACCACCAAGGAAUUGGUCCUUUAGCCGUAAACUCCCUAAAGGGGUCAAAUGGUGCCCUAACUUCCCUUUAUGGCUUAUAUAAACGACUAGAAACUUGUAUGCUUAACCAAGAACCACCAAAGCAUGAAAUGAAGGGGCAAUUAUGAGUUUAAGGCCAUAAACUCUAUGUUUACAGCAGUGAACUCCCCUAAAGGGUCCGUUUGAAGCCCUAGUCACUUCCUAUGCCCUAGAAUUGAGCCUAGCUUAUUUCCCCAAGUGAUACAAGACCUUUGAGCAACCAAAAACACCCCACCCAUGAUUUUAUGGCCGUAAACUCAUGGGGGAUAUGGUCUUUGGUCCGUAAACACCCCUAAGGGUUUACACUUGAAGAGUAAACUCCUUAUCAAGGCCCUACACUCCUUAGAUGCAACCCGUAUCACUUCCAACACUUGAGAUAAAGUAUUUUCGCGCAUCAGAGUGUAUUAUCUUACUUAAUUAGUGGUUCAAUAUCUAAUUAGAUACAAUUAUGUAUCACUUCAUGUUACAUAGGACCCUCGCACGUGUUCAAUCCCUAAAUUGACACUUAGCAUCCUACCCGGCACAUUCUCGUCUGGUGAGUUCAUACCCCUACACUUUUUCCGAGUUUUUUUUUAAUGUUUUUAGGGGGGAAUACAAGUAAAAUCNNNNNNNNNNNNNNNNNNNNNNGUGAAUUAUAUGAUUUUCUGACAAACUUUUAGAUACUUUAUCCCUUUUGUAAUAUGCGGAGCAUAAGGGAGGUUUUCUGAAUAUAAUUACAUGGUUUUCAAAUAGCUUGGGAACUUAUCAAAUCAUUCAAAUUGUUAUGGGAAUAAUCUGGGAUCUUCAUUACUUGUUUUACGGAUUCAGUUUUCAUACAAAGUCAAUAAUAUAAACUAUGUCUGAUUUAGUUUAUCCAUGUUUAAUCUAGAGUAUCAUGUUAAAUAAUUACUUCGUAUUUAAUUAUUUAUACUCUACUUUGUUCCAAACGAUUUCGAAACUCGAGAACGAUCAUUUAUUCCAUGAAUUAGUUAAUACUAGCUUGUGAGACUUGUCUUCGUUAUACCCUUCAGGGUACCAGUAAAUCCUCUCCGGAAGUUUAACCAGAGUCUCCUGGAGGGAGAGCGUGAAAUUUGUGGAUAGAUCUAUUCGGGACUGACAAUCCCAUACCUUAACUGCUAGCUAUAGUUAGGCGGGCACGCCUGGGGUGACAAAUUUUGGAAAUCGAUCGAUGCGUGAAGAACGUCAAGGAGGUAACAGGUCAAAUCAGUAUGGUUAUACGACUCACAAUACGUAUUAAACUAACUAACUUUGUUCACAAAUUUCUUUCUUUCUUCUAUAGUUUUAUUUAUGUAAUAAAACUACCUGCUUUCGUACUGGAGGGUAUUCCAAGGAUCUUAACCUAUAGUUUUAUGUAUUAAAACUACCUACUUUUGUAUUGGAGGGUAAUCCAGGGACACAACUUAUGGUUUUAUCUUAAGGAAUAAAACUACUAUACUUACUAGUGAUAACCAGGGUUUUCUUACUGUAUGGGAAUCGACAAACACGGAAAUCGACUAACAUGUUAGAAAAUAUGGGAUUUUCUGGGAAAACAUGCAUAUGUAUUUCAUAACUCAGUAACAAUGGUUUUCGAUAUUACGACAUUCUUUAUCAAAGGAAAUGAAGUAUUUUCACAAGAUUAAAUAACCAGUUUUCCUUACAAAAUAUGCUUAUGAACUCACUAACUUUAUGCUGAUAUUUUAAAACUGCUUGUAUUAUCAGGUUCUCGUUAGAUAGGUAUCCCACGUUCUUUUGGAGAAGACGGAGCGUACAAAGUCUCAUCUUUACUUUUGUUCAAACUAAUAUAUAUAUAUAUAUAUAUAUAUAUAUAUANAUAUAUAACAUGUAUUUCUUUACUUUCAAACAAAUGUAAAUUUUCUUAUGUAAUGUAAUGGUUGUGUUUACUAUGCUUACUAUGUACAUUGGUUGUGAUACUACGCAUGACGUCCUCCACCCCAGAAGGUUUCUACCGUCGGUUUCGGGGUGUGACAAAAGGGAAAUGACUAUAAACAGAAGUCGAGAAACAAGGGGAAAAAGAAGCGAAUGACACAGGAACCCCCACAAGAGAAACAAGCAAGUACUAUGUACGCUGCUACAACGCCUACUGCUCCAACACCUACCAGUCGAUAUGCUAGAACCCUCCCAAAGUGUGGAAAGUGCAACUAUCACCACACCGGAGUAUGCCGGGAAAUGCAGUGUCUGAACUGCCACAAAAAGGGACACACAGUUCAUUUCUGCAGGGCACUGGCUCAACCAAUCUCCCAAGUCCUCAGAGUUGAAGAAAACCAAGCCUGCUAUGGCUAUGGUGAGACUGGACACUAUCAGAGGGAGUUCCCGAUAACAAAGAACUCAAGUGCGGAUGGACGCAUUCUGAUGAUCACUGCCGGAGAGCCAACCUCAGAGUCGCCUUCUAGCAGCAGUACGUUUUCGACAUAGUAAUUGCCUUAAAAUAAAAUUUAUCUAUAUUUAUAUAUAAGAUUAAAACUUUAGGAGAACACUUAAAAGUAAUUAUAACAACUGACAUAUGGAAAUAGAGCACGGUAUUUCAGAAAACUAAAAGAUCCGUUUAGAGAAGCUAUGAUGGCUUACAAUAUACAUCAGAGUUGUGCAUGACUAAGAUGUUGCAAACUUAGAGUGAGUGAUUCCGCCUUAAUUUAUGUUCCUUAUUUGGUUGUGGAUUUGAUGUAGAGUUACUCAGUCGACUGUCAUAUCCAUCUUAAUUGUUCAUCACUUGUAUAUGACGGGCGAUCUUAGUGGUACCGAGGAGGAUCACAAUAUAAAAUAUCAUCACCAGUUAUCAAAACACUUUCAAUUGUAUGUAUGCGCACAUAGCGAUGCGAUACGUCAGAUUGUUAACAUCAAAGGGAAAACAGAAAGCACUAGAACACUUACAAAGAGUACAUUGUCGAACACACAAGGAGUACAUUGUCGAACACACUAGAGGUACAUCACCGUCUAACAAGCGUUUCUUUCAAAUUGGCCAAAACUUUUUUCAGUAAAGAGUUCGUUACUAUCAUUAGUCAUAAAUUGGCGUGGUCUUCACGAUACUAAGUUCACAUGUUUCUAUUGCCUCUACCGUCAAGUUCUUGAAACCUUCAUCAUUCGUAUCGACAGUCCGACCUAAACUUCAGUUUUAUCUAUUGUGUUCUAAAUCCCAAAGUACUCGUGCGAAGGGUACUCUGUCCUCCAAAGCCCUAUCGUCAGAUGUCCGUAGACCGUCAUGAAAAACCAUUCGUCCAGCAGACCAAGUUCGAUCACAUAGGCUACAAACGAAUACAGCUCACCUACCACUAUUUAGUGUAUAUGCGAGGGUGAUAUAUGAUUAUGAUUACGUAGAUCUAGUAUGUGUGUUUCCGCCCUAUCUCCUUUUCCUUGUUUGGUUUUGGAUCUGGGGCAGAGUCGCACAUCUGACCGUCUUAAUAAUCCUAAUUAUAUACGACUUGUAUACACGAGGUAAUGAUAGAUCGACCAAGUACGAAUCCUAUCAUGAUCAGAAGGGCAAAGUUGCCAGGUCUACGAGUAGCUACUCUGCUAAUCAGAGGAGUGCAACCCCAGUAGUAAUGCUAAGAAAGCUAAUUUCGGGACGAAAUUCCAUCUAACGUGGAAUGAUGUGACAACUUGAAAUUUUUUUACUUUUAAAGCCAACUCAAUCAACUCAACUAAGUUUCAGACUCAUUGGAAAUGAGUUGUAUCCCGAUUAAUGGUCAUUCUAAGGAGUUUUGAGCCUAAUACACUUAAGGAAUAAGUGUUAGAAAGUACCUGCUAGAACCACAGUGUAGCGAAUCAAACCAUAACCUCCUCAAAAUCAGUUGACGACCACAAGACCAUGAGUUUACGGCCGUAAACUCAUGUGGUCGUAAACUUAAAAGUAUAUAUGGUCCUUGGCCAUUUUUCUCAUUCUUUCCUUUCUUUGGCCGGUUUUCUUCAAAUCCUCUCAACUACCAUCAAGAUUUCCUUCCAAGAUCUUCAUAUAAGUAAGUAUUCUUCCUAUAUUUGUUGAUACAUCUCUUAAUCUAGUAUCCUUACAUGAUUUCAUCCAUGGAAAUCUUUCUUUUAUUAGAUCUUCAAGUUUCACAAAGAACACCAAGAACACACACUAGUGUUCUUGGCUAAAACCGACCAUUUCAAGCUUCUAGAUCGUAAGUACACUUCCGUAUACUUCUUAUCUAGUUAGUAUCCGUGCUUAAGGACUUGAAAACAUCAAGAACACAAGGACAAAAGGAGUUUACGGCCAAGCCAUCUUCCAUGGCCGUAAACCCCUUAAAGGGUGCCAUUUUGGCCAUCAACCCUCCUAGGUGCAAAGCUAGUCACCCAGAACCCUUCCUUGAUAAUUGUAGGACCUUAAACUACUCUUAUAAACAUAAAUGGUCAUGAGUUUACAGUUGUAAACUCCUUUGGGCCAUAAACUUAUCAAAAGCCUCUUUAGAAGUGGUAUUUCUCAUACUAGUGUAGAGCAAAAGUCCCUAAAGCUUCCUUAACCUUCAAACUUACACUUAUACAUGAGUGACCAUGAGUUUACGGCGAUAAACUACCUUUGUCCAUAAACACAUGGCCGUAAACACAUGUUGGUGUCAUUCUACCCUCCUUUGUUGAAUCACAGGUGAUUCCAACACUUGAACAAAGUGUUUCCUAGUCCCAUGAGGUGUUUCAUUGCCUUUGGUUACCCCUAAACCCUAUAUAUUGAUGCCAAUAUAUUUCGUUUAGGACUUAUUGUGUCUCGAGACUUCAUUCGUGGAACUUCUUUUACUUACGCGUGUAUUCGUUGAAUCACCCACAUCAGGUGAGUUCAUACCCCGUAAUGAAUCUUUUAACUGUUUUAAAUGCUUUAAGGAGGGGAUACAAGUUGAACACAAUUAAAAUUGUGUAAAAUGUUUCUAUCACACCCCAAAACCGAUAACGGCAGAAUACGUUUCGGGGUGGAGGACGUCAUGUACAGUAUCAUCACAAUUGCAUAAUAGUAAAAGCAAGAAACAUACAACCAUUGCAUUUACAUAGUGAAUUUAAUUACAAGCGUGUUUUUGUAAUGUUCAACAAACACCAAAAGUAAUACAAAAAUAAGAGAUGGAUCUUGUAUGCUCCACCUUCUCCAAAAAUGUUGCAUCUGUACCUGUCUAUCUUUGACCUGAGGAUACAAGUUAUUUUGAAAACGAGUAUCAACAUAAAGUUGGUGAGUUCAUAAGAGUUUAGUGUGAGUAUUUUUAUAAAAUGCAUUAGGGCUAAUAGUAUGAAAAACUGCAAUUUACAUUCAUAAGUAGUAGAAAACCCUAGAAAAUCCUAUAUUUUCCAGAAAAUACAUUGUAAGUGAAAAUCUGUGAAAAAGUAUGUAUUCUUCAUCUUGGAAAACCGUUUAUUUUAAAAGUAUAUUAGUAAACCUCCAAUAAGUAAUGUCAUAAAAUAGGUUCAACCUGUGGUCAGUGAUAGCGUUGCAAACUUCCUUUAGUGAUAGAUACUUGUUUACAUCGAGAUGUAACUUAGCCUUUAGUUUAGUAUUUUAGCGUAGCUAUAGUGUAUUCCUUGUAUAUUACCGAUAGUGAGAAUAAUAGAGUACCCCAUGACCUUCCCAGUUAUGCACCAUGUAGUGAAGUAGUGGCAUCCCUGGGCCUGUACGGCGCAGACUGAAGUUGACAAUCGGGAUGUAAUAGCGUCUGCCCCGUAUAGAUCUAUACAUGUAGCAUCGUCUUCCUGUCGGAAAACUCCGGGCGUAGUGGAGCGAAUAAANGUAAUAGCGUCUGCCCCGUAUAGAUCUAUACAUGUAGCAUCGUCUUCCUGUCGGAAAACUCCGGGCGUAGUGGGUAGCGAAUAGAGUAUCUCGUAGUGGGUUAGUGUGUGAUCGUCUGUUUAGUGCUUUCUCUUUUGUUAUAGUGUAGUAGUCUUUUAGUAUAGUUCAUAGUGUGCUCUCUUACUAGUGUAUUGUCUGGUAACAGUGUAGAUUAUAGUGUAGAGAGUAGUAGCUAUAGUGAGUAGUAGUAGUAGUAGCAUUAACUAUACCUAUUAUAGUUAACUUAGUGUGUAUGGUUCUUGUCAUGUUAGUGAUUUAGGCAUCUAAAGAAAUGAGAAAUAUUCUUAUCCCAUGCUAAUAUACAAGAUAUAUAACUAAGAAAUCAACGACAGUAGGACGGAUAACCACCACCCUAAACCCACAAUCAAACAAGAACAGGAAAUAAGGCGAGCUAUCGGUCCUAAGUCCUUCAAGUCUUACUUAUAUAAAUAUAUUAGCGUGGUUACAUUUUAUAAGAAGACUUGUUUAAUAAAAGUAUUGUCCAAAAGAAGCAUUUAAAAACUUGUUUAUUUACCCAAAAUAGUUUUGAAAACGUAGAAUCUAUUUAUAAGGCAUAGUGGUAAAUCACAUGUGAUUUGAACUACGAGUAGUGAAUCACAUGUGAUUAACCUCCACAACGUGUAUAUUUGACUUGUAUCCCCCGCCUUAAAACAUAUAAAAACAUUUGAAAGAUUCAUUAAAGGGGUAUGAAUUCACCUGAAAUCGCGUAAAUCGGGUAAAUCGGGUGAAAGUGUCGGUUGAGCGUUUUGUACCAAAUAACGACUUGUGCACCUUUUAGGACCCUAAUGUCAUAUGAAAUAUGUAUUUUACAAGAAAUUAAUCAUUUUAUGCUUUUCAUUAAAGUAUUUAGGCAUUUUAGCAUCGAUUCGGGGUUCUAGGGCUUAGAAGGGGUUCCCAGGAGUGGUACAAGGCCAAGAGGGGUUUACGGGGGAGUCCAAGAGUUCACUCCCUUGGAGUUUACGGCCAAAGGCCACUCCUUGGGAGUUUACGGCCGUAAGCCCCCUAGGCUUGGCCGUAAACUCAUGCACUCCUCCAAAAGUGCAAGUUAAGGCCUCAAAUCAACUCCUUAUAUUUCUAGUAAAAGCCUAGGACUAAUUUUGAGGGUUAAAACCUUCAUUUGGUGUCACUUGGGGGAGUUUACGGUCCAAGCUUGUGCUUGGGCCGUAAACUCCAUUUUGUCCCUGCAAAUGGAUUGUUAAAUGGUCCUAAGCACUCCCUUAAAUCAUAACUAAAUUCUAGAAGGCCUUAGAUGAGUUUUUGGGAUUUUUUACCAAGGAAAUUGGGUGUUUACGGCCCAAGCAUAGUCUUGGCUAUAAACUCCUCUUUUAGGCUCUAAAAUGUGUUGUUUAAUGGCCUUAAGCAUUCCUAGGGUCCUAACUUAAUUCCAACAUGUCUUAGAUGAGUUUUUGGGGCUAUUUGGCAUAGAAUUUAGGUGUUUACGGCCUAAGCAUGAGCUUGGGCCGUAAACUCCCUUUUAGGUCUUAAAAACUUGUGUUUUGGUGUCCAAACUCAUCUAGGUAUAUCCCUUGAUUAUUGUACAAGCUUAUAGGAAGUAAAAACGGGACAUUUAGCCAAGUUUUGGGUGUUUACGGCCUAAGGGGCUUCCUAGGCCGUAAACUCCCUUUAAUCCACUAAAUCUUAUGGUUUUUGACCUUUAAAUGCAAUGGAAUAUGUUUAGAAUAAGAUAGGGAAGAAACCCUUACGUUUGGAAGUCGGAAUUCACGGUUUUGGAGUCAGGUUCGGGUCUAGAGAGAGAAAGUAGUGAGAGAGAGUGAAUGAGUGGUAAAAGAGUGUCCAAAUGUUGUUCACUCUUAUUUUAUAUGCCUUGGGUAUUGCACCCGGUACACGGCUACCCGAUGCUAAAGUUUAACGGGGUUAAAACUUUUUACCCGGGUGAAGUGGUUGAAAAGUAAUAUAACUCUAUUUAGUUGAACAGGGUUAACACUUACAAGUUAAAAUUACUUAUGAUAAUAUCAAGAAAUAUAAAUAACUAGAUAUUUAUUUAGUUACGACUCCAAACAUUACGGAAAAUAAUAUAUAACGACGAAUUCCGUUAGUGAAGACAGGAUUAUGUAACGAAAAUAAGUUCGGGUCAUCACAUUAUCCCCCCGUUAGGGGAAUUUCGUCCUGAAAUUUAGAAUUCAUACAGAUAGGAAUUACAAUACCACUAAGCGAAGAGAUGGGGAUAUUUGAGUUUCAUUUGAUCUUCGCGCUCCCAAGUAAAUUCCGGUCCCCGCUUGGCGUUCCACCGAACUUUCACAAUUGGGAUGCGGCUUUGUUUCGUUCGUUUUACUUCCCGAUCCAAAAUCUCCGCAGGCUCUUCCACGAAGUUGAGGCUCUCAUUGACCUCGAUCUCGUCGAGGGGAGUCACGAGAGUCUUGUCGAACAGGCAUUUCUUCAAGUUUGAGACAUGGAAGGUAGGAUGUAUGUUAUUUAGCUCGUAGGGUAGGUUGAGUUUGUAGGCUACAGGGCCGAUUCUAGCGAGAAUCUCAAAAGGCUCUAUGUACCUUGGGUUCAGCUUUCCAUGCUUUCCGAAGCGUAUCGUGCUCUUUUAGGGCGAGACCUUUAAAAGGACUCGGUCUCCCACCUGGAAUUCCAAGGGUUUUCUUCAUUUGUCGGCGUAGCAUUUCUGUCGAUCCCUAGCGGAUUUUAAUCGUUCAUGUAUCUGAACAAUCUUCUCAGUCGUUUCUCGAAUGAUCUCCGGACCAGUGAGGGCGCUGUCAGGAACUCGUCCUUUAGCUAACUGAGUGUCACCCACCUCAGCCCAGCACAAAGGGGAUCUGCACUUCCAGCCGUAGAGGGCUUCGAAUGGAGCUGCCUUGAUGCUCGUAUGAUAACUAUUGUUGUAGGAAAACUCCACAACAGGUAAGUGUGUGUCCCACGAUUUGCCGAAGUCAAUCACACAAGCUCGUAGCAUAUCUUCUAAGGUUUGGAUCGUCCUCUCACUUUGUCCGUCGGUCUGCGGAUGGUAGGCUGUACUCAUGUCCAGCCUCGUCCCUAGUGCCUUUUGCAAUGAUUGCCAAAAUCUAGAGGUGAAUCUACUAUCUCUGUCUGAGAUAAUAGACAUAGGGACGCCAUGCAGUCGUACUAUUUCUUUAAAGUAUGUUCUAGUGAGCUUCUCCAUCUUGUCCGUCUCCUUGAUGGGUAGGAAGUGUGCGGACUUGGUCAACCUGUCAACGAUGACCCAAAUGGUAUCUAACCCACCCACUGUCUUGGGCAGUUUGGUUAUAAAGUCCAUUGUGAUCCGCUCCCACUUCCAUUCUGGUAUCUCAGGUUGUUGGAGGAGUCCUGAUGGCUUUUGGUAUUCGACAUAGACCUUCGCGCAAGUAAGGCACUUACUCACAAAGGUAGCGAUCUCCGCUUUCAUGUUCGGCCACCAGUAUAGCUUUUUAAGAUCCAGAUACAUCUUAUCUGAACCUGGGUGGACGGAGUAGCGAGUGUUGUGUGCUUCCCUCAUGACCAAGACUAUGAAGCCUCCAUGGCGUGGGGUCCAGAUUCGGUCCAUGAAGUAGUAGGCUCCGUCACCCUUAACCUCCAAAUUUUUAUCCAUUCUGCGCAGGGAUUCUCCCGUCACGUUCUCAGGCUUUAAGGGUUCCAGCUGAGCCUCUUUGAUCUGUGUGGAUAGAUGCGAAUGGAUAGUCAUCGUCAACGACUUGGUCCUUCGACCAGAAUACUCCUUCCUACUUAGGGCGUCUGCUACUACGUUAGCUUUCCUCGGGUGAUAUCUAAUUUCAUAAUCAUAAUCGUUAAGUAGCUCGACCCAUCGACGCUGCCUCAUGUUGAGUUCUUUUUGGUUCAGUAUGUGUUGGAGGCUUUUAUGAUCAGUGUACACCACGCUCUUCGUCCCAUACAAGUAGUGUCUCCAGAUUUUUAGUGCGAAGACGACCGCUCCUAACUCGAGGUCGUGAGUAGUGUAGUUCACCUCAUGGGUCUUUAGCUGCCUCGAGGCAUAGGCGAUAACCUUACCUCGUUGCAUCAAGACACAACCGAGCCCCUGAUUGGAUGCAUCACAGUAUACAACAAAAUCUUCUGUCCCUUCGGGAAGGGAUAAUAUUGGUGCGGUGCAUAAGGCUCGCUUCAGGGUCUGGAAUGCCUUUUCCUGUUUCUCUUCCCAGUCGAAUGAUACACCCUUCUGUGUCAGCAUAAUGAGAAGCUUCGCAAUCCGAGAGAAGUUUUGGAUGAAUCUGCGGUAGUAGCCAGCGAGACCUAGAAAUUGACGAAUUUCUGUAGGCGUCUUCGAUGUUGACCAGUUCUGAAUAGCUUUAAUUUUGGAAGGAUCCACGUGGAUUCCUUCUUCACUAACCACGUGACCUAAGAAUUCAACUCUUCGGAUCCAAAACUCGCACUUAGAGAACUUCGCAUAUAACUUUUCGGAUCGCAACGUUUCGAGGACUCAUCGUAAAUGAUCCCUGUAUUCUUCCUCGCUCUGAGAGUAGACGAGGAUAUCGUCAAUGAAGACGAUGACGAACUGAUCCAGGUAUGGACGACACACCCUAUUCAUCAAGUCCAUGAAUACUGCGGGGGCGUUAGUCAGUCCAAAGGGCAUCACUACGAACUCAAAAUGCCCGUAGCGGGUUCAGAAGGCUGUCUUCGGAACAUCUUCCUCAAGCACCCGUAACUGAUGAUACCCGGAUCUAAGAUCAAUCUUAGAGAAGUAACUUGCUCCUUGUAGUUGGUUGAAUAGAUCGUCGAUACGAGUGAGAGGGUAACGAUUUUUGACCGUGAGUUUAUUGAGUUCCCUAUAAUCGAUGCACAUUCGAAACGACCCAUCCUUCUUCUUUACGAACAAGACCGGAGCUCCCCAAGGUGAGAAACUCGGUCUUCUAAAACCCUUGCUGAGCAGUUCAUUGAGUUGACCGGAUAGUUAUUGCAUUUCGGCAGGCGCUAGACGAUAGGGAGACUUUGCUACGGGGGUAGCUCCUGGGACUAGGUCGAUUCUGAACUCAACCUGACCUUUGGGAGGUAGGCCUGGAAGAUCCUCCGGGAAAACAUAAAGGAAAUCGCAUACUACGGGAAUGUCUUUUGGAUCUUUCGAUUUCUGGCUUGUGUCGACGAUGUGAGAAAGGAAGGCGCGGUAUUCCUUANUACGGGGGUAGCUCCUGGGACUAGGUCGAUUCUGAACUCAACCUGACCUUUGGGAGGUAGGCCUGGAAGAUCCUCCGGGAAAACAUAAAGGAAAUCGCAUACUACGGGAAUGUCUUUUGGAUCUUUCGAUUUCUGGCUUGUGUCGACGAUGUGAGAAAGGAAGGCGCGGUAUUCCUUACGCAAGUAUUUCUGAGCCUGGAUACUGGAGAUGAUACGAAGGCUCGUACCUGGUUUAUCUCCAUAGAUCAUUAGGGCUUCGGAAUCCGAAAAGGUUCAGGCGAAGGGCUUUCUCGUAGCAUAGGAUAUCAGUGCGAUGAAGACUCAACCAGUCCAUACCAACAAUAACAUCGAAACUCUUGAUUGAGACUGGUAUAAGAUCGAUUGGAAAUGAGUGAUCGUCUAACAUGAGAGUACAACCUGAGUAGAUUUCAUUAGAGCUUUCGGUCUUCCCAUUAGCCAUUUCUACGAAGAAUGUUUCUUUUAGUGGUUGAGGGGUUUAUUUGAGUAAGUGUUUAAAGUUAUGAUUUACGAAGCUUCUUUCUGCACCACUAUCAAAUAAGACACAGGCAUAGGAGUUGUUGAGAAGAAACGUACCCGUGACUACCGUGGGAUCCGCUACCGCUUCAUUGUGACUGAUAUCGAGUAAUCUUCCACUUCCCCCAACAUUUGUAGCUUUCGGACAGUUCUUCUUAAAAUGACCAGCUUCACCGCAGCCAUAACAAGUCAGGGUCACUCCUGCACCGGGAACCUGUGUGAUAGGUUUGGGAGGGGCCUUGCAAAAUCAGACAGUAUGGCCCUUUCGGCCGCAGUUGGAACACUGCAAUUCACGGCAGGGGCCGUUGUGGUGGAAAGGACAUUUGGGACAUUUGGGCAGAUUUCCGCUAUAAGCUUUUGGCGGGGCUGGUGCAGCUGGAGUGGUGGCAGCAUGGACCGCCACGAUCUGUUGGUCCUUGGAGGAGGCUUGAGUUUUCUUGCCUUUCUUCCUAUCCCAAUGCUUCCUCUUCCUGACAGAUGCAUCGGGCGGUGCAGUGGUUGUUGCGGUUGCUGUUGCUGGAGUGGAGGAGAUUUCGUGGUUGAUCAGACUUUGGGCCAAUUCCUUGGCGCUGUCGAAGGUGGUAGGGCGUGAGGCUAGAACAUUUCCCCGAUACGGGGGCACUAAACCCCAGAUGUACCGUUCAAUCUUCUUGCUUUCGGACGGGAUCAUAUUGGGACACAUAGCCGCCAAGUCGCAGAACCUGGACGUGUACGCUAUUAUGUCGGUCCCCACCAUCUUGAGGUUCCAGAGUUCCUCCUCAAGUUUCUGAACUUCGCCCCUAGGGCAGUACUCCCCUCUCAUGAGAUCUUUUAGAGUGUCCCAGCCCAUGGCAUUGGCUGUGACUAACGAGAGUGCACUGACAUGGCCGUUCCACCAUGUCAAGGCCCUGUUAGUGAGGGUAGCAGUAGCGAACUUGAUUUUGCUCUCUUCAGGGCAAGAGCACAUUUCAAAUACAGCUUCGGUUCUUUCGAACCAUUGGGACAAUGCUAAAAUUGCUCCGGUACCAUCGAAGAAGGUAGGUUUACAGUUCAUGAAGUCCUUAUAAGUGCAUCCCUGCACUUGUUGGUGGACUUCACCAAAUCUAGAAUUUCCACCACUCGCAUCACCCGAGUUCAUUUGGGCCAUGGCUGCUGUCACAACCGCGGUCACAGCUGUUUGGAACAGCACCGGAUCGAACUGCGGAGGAGGAGGUGGUGGAGGAGGGGUUUGAGUUGCUGGUCUUCCUCUGCUUGGACGCUUUCGUGGAGGCAUCCUUCACUGGAAGAUCAUAGAAAUGAUAGCAAUAGUAAAAGCCUAUUGCGAAUAUGAAUAGAGUGUCUCAUGGAUUGAAUCACAUAAUUCAAGAUCAGAAUGAGAGUCAUAGCAAUAGAGUAGUUAACUGCGAAUAUACUGGUAUUAAUGAUGUAAUAUAGUUUCAUGAAAAUUGACCUAACCGUAGGUCUUACAUCAAACCAUAGAGGGAAUGUUGGCAGCUUAGAGGUUUAACUAGAGAACUUUUAAGCUAGGAAUGUUUACAGACAAGAGAUCUACGGAACAUAGAGAGAUAAGGUUAUUCCUUUAAACAAAAGAGUGGGGUAACUAGACGUCUUCUACUGGCGACGGUUACUUGUUGGGCGAAUCCUCAGAUCCGCUAGCUGACGAUAACUUCUUGAAGGUGUCGAUCAUGAGUCCUUUGGAGUGCUCGGAGUUCCCUAACUUUGGCUUGGGAUGCAGCCAACUGAUGCUGCAGAGCCUCAUUGGUCCUCCUUGUCCUGUCCAUGGCUUCUUCGAGUUGGCAGAUGUGAACCGUGUUGAGGUUCGAGUUGGCAUCCACUUCCACAACUCGACCAAUAGCAGCUUGACCCUGCUCGACAUUCCUGGCAAUCCUUCGGAUCAUGAUGGGCAGAACCCGAUCCGCUGAUCCUCCUUCGCUUAUGUUGUAGAAGCUUCGGUCUCCAUUGUAAGGCAAGGGCUGACCCUGCUCCUCGCUCCAUCGGUGCAAGGAUAUGGCCCACAUAGGAGUGGGACCCUGAAAUGCCGGACGGGGGUUAGGGUUCGGAGCUUCAGGAGGUUGGUUGUUAACUUCUGGUUCGGAGCUCGAGCUAUCCGAGAAGCCUUCAGCAUGAUGAUCAUCCAAAGGGAUCGGGUGAUCAUCGUAUGACUCCUCAUUGAGCCAUCCCCCAUUGCCCUGGUUCAGAUAGUACGGAUCACCGGGAUGGUGGAAGCCAGCCAUGCUAUCUAUGCGAGAAGGGGAAAGGAAAGGUUAAUAGACGUACUAUUCUAAGAUACUUAUUAGGAUGAAUCACUAUUAGUCGACCCAAUACUUGCGUAGUGCAUACCGAUUACAUGUAACCGAAGCAAGAUAGUCCUUCGAAUAAGCGACCCUAACUUCAGACCCCCAAUCAAACAAGAACAGGGAAUGAAGCAAAGGCUACAGAUUCUGAGUCUAUAGCGCCCUAGUCACAUGUAACCGUGGUGCAUCCACUUAGCAAUUAUUGUCCUACCAGUAACGACCCUUUUAGUUGUCACAUACAUAUGUUUUUAGAGAUACAGAAUACUCCUAUAGUAUUCUUAUGGUAAUGUUAUUAUGGUAGUGUUGGUAAGUUUUUAGACUUGUUGCAACACCACAACCAAACUUAGGCACAUGCUAGUCACUCCCAGGUAAACGUAGUUGAUCAGGCUACAUUCCCCCAAAUGUGACUAUACGUCUCUAAGCCGAAUUGUGCUAUCCAACAAUCUUAAUACUUUUGUUUUGUUCUAGGGUGAUACUGACUUCUGUGUUUUAUAGUGAUGUGUGUGUAUAUAUAUAUACUUAGUUAAAUCCUUUAGAUACUUAACAAUAUAUAUUCUUGGUCUGAGUGUUUUAGUCCCGAAGUGUUUAUAGUUCGUAUAUCUUUUAUAUGUUGAUAUACUUGAUUCACUAUAAACAAUGCUCUGAUACCAAUUUGUCACACCCCAAAACCGAUAACGGCGGAAUACGUUUCGGGGUGGAGGACGUCAUGUACAGUAUCAUCACAAUUGCAUAAUAGUAAAAGCAAGAAACAUACAACCAUUGCAUUUACAUAGUGAAUUUAAUUACAAGCAUGUUUUUGUAAUGUUCAACAAACACCAAAAGUAAUACAAAAAUAAGAGAUGGAUCUUGUAUGCUCCACCUUCUCCAAAAAUGCUGCAUCUGUACCUGUCUAUCUUUGACCUGAGGAUACAAGUUAUUUUGAAAACGAGUAUCAGCAUAAAGCUGGUGAGUUCAUAAGAGUUUAGUGUGAGUUUUUGUAAAAAAUGCAUUUGGGCAAAUAGUAUGAAAAACUGCAAUUUACAUUCAUAAGUAGUAGAAAACCCUAGAAAAUCCUAUAUUUUCCAGAAAAUACAUUGUAAGUGAAAAUCUGUGAAAAAGUAUGUAUUCUUCAUCUUGGAAAACCGUUUAUUUUAAAAGUAUAUUAGUAAACCUGGAAUAAGUAAUGUGAUAAAAUAGGUUCAACUUGUGGUCAGUGAUAGCGUUGCAAACUUCCUUUAGUGAUAGAUACUUGUUUACUUCGGGAUGUAACUUAGCCUUUAGUUUAGUAUUUUAGCGUAGCUAUAGUGUAUUCCUUGUAUAUUACCGAUAGUGAGAAUAAUAGAGUACCCCAUGACCUUCGGUCAUGCANCAUCCCUGGGCCUGUACAGCGCGGACUGAAGUUAACAGUCGGGAUGUAAUAGCGUCUGCCCCAUAUAGAUCUAUACAUGUAGCGUCAUCUUCCUGUCGGAAAACUCCGGGCGUAGUGGGUAGCGAAUAGAGUAUCUCGUAGUGGGUUAGUGUGUUAUCGUCUAUUUAGUGCUUUCUCUUUUGUUAUAGUGUAGUAGUCUUUUAGUAUAGUUCAUAGUGUGUUCUCUUACUAGUGUAUUGUCUGGUAAUAGUGUAGAUUAUAGUGUAGAGAGUAGUAGCUAUAGUGAGUAGUAGUAGUAGUAGCAUUAACUAUACCUAUUAUAGUUAACUUAGUGUGUAUGGUUCUUGUCAUGUUAGUGAUUUAGGAAUCUAAAGAAAUGAGAAAUAUUCGUAUCCCAUACUAAUAUACAAGAUAUAUAACUAAGAAAUCAACGACUGUCGGACGGAUAACCACCACCCUAAGCCCACAAUCAAACAAGAACAGGAAAUAAGGCGAGCUAUCGGUCCUAAGUCCUUCAAGUCUUACUUAUAUAAAUAUAUUAGCGUUGUUACAUUUUAUAAGAAGACUUGUUUAAUAAAGUAUUGUCCAAAAGAAGCAUUUAAAAACUUGUGUAUUUACCCAAAAUAGUUUUGAAAAUGUAGAAUCUAUUUAUAAGGCAUAGUGGUAAAUCACAUGUGAUUUGAACUACGAGUAGUGAACCACAUGUGAUUAAUCUCCACGACGUGUAUAUUUGACUUGUAUCCCACCCUUAAAACAUAUAAAAACAUUUGAAAGAUUCAUUAAAGGGGUAUGAACUCACCUGAAAUCGCGUAAAUCGGGUAAAUCGGGUGAAAGUGUCGGUUGAGCGUUUUGUACCAAAUAACGACUCGUGCACCUUUUAGGACCCUAAUGUCAUAUGAAAUAUGUAUUUUACAAGAAAUUAAUCAUUUUAUGCUUUUCAUUAAAGUAUUUAGGCAUUUUAGCAUCGAUUCAGGGUUCUAGGGCUUAGAAGGGGAUCCCGGGAGUGGUACAAGGCCAAGAGGGGUUUACGGGGGAGUCCAAGAGUUCACUCCCUAGGAGUUUACGGCCCAAAGGCCACUCCUUGGGAGUUUACGGCCGUAAUCUCCCUAGGCUUGGCCGUAAACUCAUGUACUCCUCCAAAAGUGCAAGUAAAGGCCUCAAAUCAACUCCUUAUAUUUCUAGUAAAUGCCUAGGACAAAUUUGGAGGAUUAAAACCUUCAUUUGGUGUCACUUGGGGGAUUUUACGGUCCAAGCUUGUGCUUGGGACAUAAAAUCCAUUUUGUCCCUCAAAAUGGAUUGUUAAAUGGUCCUAAGCACUCCCUUAAAUCAUAACUAAAUUCUAGAAGGCCUUAGCUGAGUUUUUGGGACUUUUUACCAAGGAAAUUGGGUGUUUACGGCCCAAGCAUAGUCUUGGCCGUAAACUCCUCUUUUAGGCUCUAAAAUGUGUUGUUUAAUGGCCUUAAGCAUUUCCUAGGGUCCUAACUUAUUUCCAACAUGUCUUAGAUAAGUUUUUGGGGCUAUUUGGCAUAGAAUUUAGGUGUUUACGGCCUAAGCAUGAGCUUGGGCCAUAAACUCCCUUUUAGGUCUUAAAAACUUGUGUUUUGGUGUCCAAACUCAUCUAGGUAUAUCCCUUGAUUAUUGUACAAGCUUAUAGGAAGUAAAAACGGGACAUUUGGCCAAGUUUUGGGUGUUUACGGCCUAAGGGGCUUCCUAGGCCGUAAACUCCCUUUAAUCCACUAAAUCUUAUGGUUUUCGACGUUUAAAUGCAAUGGAAUAUGUUUAGAAUAAGAUAGGGAAGAAACCCUUACGUUUGGAAGUCGGAAUUCAUGGUUUUGGAGUUGGGUUCGGGUCUAGAGAGAGAAAGUAGUGAGAGAGAGUGAAUGAGUGGUAAAAGAGUGUCCAAAUGGUGUUCACUCUUAUUUUCUAUGCAUCGGGUAUUGGACCCGGUACACGGCUACCCGAUGCUAAAGUUUAACGGGGUUAAAACUUUUUACCCGGGUGAAGUGGUUGAAAAGUAAUAUAACUCUAUUUAGUUGAAAGGGGUUAACACUUACAAGUUAAAAUUACUUAUGAUAACAUCAAGAAAUAUAAAUAACUAGAUAUUUAUUUAGUGACGAUUCCAAACAUUACGGAAAAUAAUAUAUAACGACGAAUUCCGUUAGUGAAGGCAGGAUUAUGUAACGGAAAUAAGUUCGGGUCGUCACAGUUUGUUAUUAACAUCAUUCAAAAGAUUACUUAUGUCUUUUAUAAGGGAUCAAAACAUUUCAAAACUCUUUUAAAGUUAUGUUACUUUUAGUUUGAUAAAACUCUAUUUUUAAAGUACAAGCAUAACUUAGCAGAUAAACGAGUCUUUUCAAUAACAAGUUCAAGUAAAAUGUUAGUAAACUAUAAUAGGUAUAGUUUAGGAAUGGAUUCCUUAAUGUUUACAUCAAAGGAUAUAUAUAGGAUCUGACAGAUAAUAGGAUGGGUGCUCUCCACUUCACUUCUUGUUCUUUGUUUGGUUGCGGGCUUGGAAUGGAUUCACCCAGUCUAUCAUCUAUUCGAUUCUAGAUAUAUAUAUAUAUAUAUNCCAGUCUAUCAUCUAUUCGAUUAUAUAUAUAUAUGUUUCGUAUACAUUAAGUCAUCAUAAGGGUACCAAGUAUGGGUCAAGCCAUAGGACACAAAAUCAAUUCACAACUUUCUAGUUCCAGUCAUACUUUUCAAAUCAGAACUUGUGGUAUUCAAAACUAGAAACUUCCCAAUAAAGGGUUUAAUCCAUUUUAUUAAACCAGUAUAAAUGUAAAGGACCUUAGGUGAUUAAAUCUAUAAUGCCUUAGUUUAUACAUCAUGGUUAUAUAUCAUUACCCAAUAGGUGGUUGGAUGUGUGUUUUCCGCUUUACUUCAUGUUCCUUGUUUGGUUGUGGGCUUAGGGCAGAUUCACUUAAUUAACUAUCUAUUCGAUAUUAGAUUAUAUAUACCUAGUAAAAAAUAAGUAAUUAUACAAGUAAUCACAGUGGUCACCAUUUUGUAAUAAGAAAUAAGGGGUUUCUUAAAGAAUCUUUCCAUGAAAUAUAAAAGGAACUAUUACAGUUAACUCCAUGAGUAGCAAGUGAAUGCACCAGGGUUAUAUACAACAAUGAUCAAACAAACAAUGAGAUGUGUGUUUUCUGCCUUAGGGUAGAUACGCACAAUCAAUUGUAUGUUUACUCUGAGUUUUAUAUAACUUGUAUCCAUUUAGUACUCAUAGAAAGGAUUGUAGAGCCAUUGUUGCUUAUCUUUCAUUAAAGUAGGAAAUAUAGGACUUUCUAGAGGAACAUGCGAACUUUUCUAAACAAAACUUACAACUUACUACAUUUUUCAACUACAUUUUACAAAAACUUUCCACAACGUACUUACAUCACUAAAAUCUUAUGAACUCACCAGCUUAAUUGCUGAUAAACUCUUUCAAGUAACUUGUAUUCUCAGGAGACUUUAGACAUGUACUCGUGCUGGGAACUCAGAAGUUGGAGCAUAGCAGCUUCAAGUCUUGUUUUGUUAUUUGUUUACGUAUUCUAUGUUUUGUGAACACAAACAUUGUAAACAAUUUCUUUCUAAUGAAAUGGUUGUUUAUUACUUGCUUACUAUUAUACAUGUCUUCCGAUACUAAACAUGACGUCCUCCAUCCCCGAACGUUUCCGCCGUUCCGGUUUUGGGGUGUGACACCAGCUUCAACACUUGAUGAACAUUAUUCCUACAAGCCUCCCUAGCAUUGGAAAACGACUUUGUGCACUCUUUACCAUGAGUGUGAGGCUGCACACUCCCUGGCCACACACCCAUGGCCACACACUCCUCAAAGUGACCAUACACUCUCCUUAGUUCAAUCACAUGUGAUUCCAACACUUGGUCAAAGUGUUUCCUAGUCCCCUGAGGUGUUUCCUUGCAUUUGGUUGCUUCUAAACGCUAUAUUUGUGUCAAUAUAUGCCAUUAUAUGUCAUUUAGAACUCAUUAAGUCUCGGGAGUUCAUUCAUGGAGCUACUCAUCCUUACACGCGUAUUCGUUUGAUUCACCCACAUCAGGUGAGUUCAUACCCUGUAAUCAAUCUUUUAAACUGUUUUAAACGCUUUUAAGGGGGGAUAAUAGUUGAACACAAUUGAUAAUUGUGUAAUUGUUUGUUAUGACAUCUUUCUAAAGUUGCUUAUGUCUUAUACGAGUGAUCAAAACAUUUCAAAAACUCUUCUAAAGUUAUGUUACUUUUUAGUUUAAUAAAACUCCAUUUUUAAAGUACAAGCAUAACUUGGUAGUAAAAUGAGUCUUUUCAAUACACGAUAAUAUAAGAGAACACACAAUAAAGAGAAAUAGGGAGGAAGAUACAAUACACGAUAACAGAAAGAACAUACUACGAUACUAUAACAGAACAAACAUAAUAAGGUGCUAUAGCAUGAGACAACUACAAGAUCUAAUUAUAACAAUGAAUCACUAACGCAUUGUUCUAAACAAAAGGUGAUAGUUAUAUUGGGUAUACAUGAUCAUAUAACCUUAGUGUGAAGUUACCCGACCUAGCAACUCGUUUGCUAAAGUCGCGUUUGGUUCCCAGAAUCUUUUGUCAGGGAGAGCAUUUAGUAUGGGAACUAGCCUUCACAUUAUGACCUUAAUAAAAUAAAUAUGUUUUUAAGGUAAUUAGUACGUCGGAAUGUCAGUUCAUAAGACAACUGAGUACUUAUAUUUUCCCAUUACUUUCAUAAAGUGAUAGUUCCACCUGAAAGUUAAUGUGAACUAUUUUCGAGUCAAGAUAGUUAUAAACUAGGGAAAAACUUACGUUUUUUCAAACGACAAACAUCACAGUCGGGUCUAGUACAUUCAGUAGAAAGGGACCAUAACGCUAACUUUAUGAUUCCUUAAUGUAUACAUCAAGAGAUAUAUAUUAAUAAUAUCUGAUAGGUAAUAGGAUAUGUACUUUCUGCUUCAUUUCCCGUUCCUUGUUUAGUUGUGGGCUUAGAGCAGAUUCACCCAGCCUAUUAUCCGUUCGAUAUUAGUUAUAUACAUGUUCCGUAUACAUUAAGUCAUCAUAAGGGGUGCCAGGUAUGGGUCAAGUCAUAGGACACUAAUUCAAUGCAUAGUUUUCUAGUACAAAACAUACUUUUCAAAUCAGAACUUUGGAUAUGAAAAAGUAGAAACUUACCAGUAAAGGGUUUAAUCCAUUUUAUUAAACCAUCAUUUUAAAGAACCUUAGGUAGUUAACUCUAUAUAAUUAAUAUCCAAUAGGUAGUUGGAUGUGUACCUUCCGCCUCAUUCCUUGUUCCUUGUUUGGUUGUAGGUUUAGGGCAGAUUCACACAAUUAACUAUCUGCUCGAUAAUAGAUUAUAUAUAGCUAGUAUAAACUAAGUGAUUAUAGAAGGAACCAUUGUGGUUACUAUAAUACUAUAAGGAAUAAGGGUUUUCUUAAAGAAUCUUCUUAUAAAUUAUAAAGGGACUAUUACAGUUAACUCCGUGAGUAUCAAGGGAAUACACCAGGGUUAUAUACAACAAGGAUCUAACAACCAAUGAGAUGUGUGUCAUCCGCCUCAUUUCAUGUUCCUUGUUUGGUUGUAGGGUUAGGGCAGAUACACACACUUGAUUGCUUGUUUACUCUGAGUGAUUUCUUGUUUACUCUGAGUUUUAUAUAACUUGUAUACAUUUAGUACUCAUAGAAAGGAUUGUAGAGUCAUUUUUACUUAUCUUUUAUCAAAGCAGGAAAUAUAGGAUUUUCUGGAGAAACAGACGAACUUUUCUAAACAUAACUUACAACUUACAUAACUUACAACUUACUACAUUUUACAACAUCUUUCUACAACUUACUUACAUCACUAAAAUCUUAUGAACUCAGCAGCUUAAUUGCUGAUAAACUAUUUCAAAUAACUUGUAUUCUCAGGGAAUUAGUAGACAAAUACUCGUGCUGGGAAUUCAGCAGAUGGAGUAGUAUAGCUCCAAGUCUUGUUUUGUUAUUUGCUUAUGUAUUCUAUGUUUUGUGAACACACCCUUUGUAAACACUUUCUUUCUAAUGAAAUGGUUGUUCAUUACUUGCUUACUAUGAUGCAUGUCUUGUGAUACUAACAUGACGUCCUCCACCCUCGAACGUUUCCGCCGUUCCGGUUUUGGGGUCUGACAGAAAUGAAUGUUUUAUUAUUUUAAAAAUGAAAAAUUUUGCCUGAAAUUUUGGGAUGUUACACCCAUGCCAUCGAACUUGGCAGACAUGUCAACAGGUGCUUGACUAGGUUUGUAGUUGGACAUUUUGGCACGGUCAAUGAUCUCUGUUGCAUAUUUGUGUCGAGAUAGAAACAAGUCAUGAUGGUCUCGGGCAACUGCUAUACUGAAAAAAAUACUUUAGAGAACUCAAAUCUGUCAUGGGGAAUUCUAAAUGUAGGGUGGUGAUAAUAUGUUGUAGAAGACAUUUGGUGGAGGUAGUUAAUACAAUAUUUUCAACAUAAACUAAAAGAUAGGCCAUCUAAUCCGCUUGGUGGUAGAUAAACAUAUAAAAUAUUUGAUUUUCUGUUGAUGAAGCCAACCGAGUAAUAAACUAAGCAAAUGUGUUGUACCAUGUACGUGGGGUCCGUCUGAGACCAUUAAGGGACCUCUGUAAGAGACAUACAUGAUUAGAAGUUGAAGGGAUGCGGAAACCCGGUGGCUGAUGCAUAUAAUAGUUUCAUGUAAUUGACCGUGAUGAAAUGCAUUCUUCACAUCAAACUGGUGAACACGCCAGUGAUGAGAAAUGAAGAAGCUAAGACGGUCCAGAUAGUAGCUAGUUCAAGAACAUGACUAAAUGUCUCAUCACAAUCGAUAUCGGGGUCGCUGACUAUGUCCGUUAGCAACUAAACACGCCUUAUAUCGAACAAAAGAUUCAUAUGCAUUAAGGUUUUUUUUUUUUUUUUUAAUAGCGAAAUACAAUUAUCAACAUUAGUAUUUUGGGGCCAAGGUACAGGUACCCAAGUUCUGUUAAAAUAAGUGCAACAUAUUUAUCUUUCAUUACAUUUAACCGCUUAGGAUUUUGAAAGGCUUGAAAAUAGUUUCGAGGAAGAGGAGAGGGAGUGGAAACCGUGUGAAGAUUUAGAUGAUCAAUAGGUUUAUGGAUACCACUUCUGGCACGAGUGGCCAUGAAACGAGUGUGAGAUGGUCCUGACAACGAUUCUAACACUUUUCUUUUUUAAUUCUUCAAUAAUAUUUUUUUUUUCACUCUAUAGAAUAGUUAUAUUUGUGGAAGAAAACCAUCAUCGACGGCAAUGUCAUUGUUUCUAGACGAAUCGUUUAUUUAACCUAUAUAUUUUUAUUCAACAAUUGUAUCUAUUAUUAUACAACAGAAAUCAUAUCGUACACGACUACUGGGUCACGAGUCUUGAGUAUAACCAAAACUAUAUGAUUGGAUUAAUCAAUAUGAAUUGUAAUUCGUAACAUCAAUAAUCAACAUAUCAACAAGAGUAUACAAAAGCAACCAAGAAAAUAUAAUGAAUCUAAAUGUACGUUUCUAAUCCAUCAUUAAAGAUACGAACAAAAACCUCCAUCUCACUAGCCGAAAGGGAAACGCCAAUCUCCAGAUCUUCAUUCUGAUCUUUGCAAGCAGCCAUGGAUAUAGAUCCAUUAUAAUCUAUGGAAACCGUUUCAUGCUUUUUAGGCUUCCCCCAUCCGAAAUCCAGAUCAUAAAAUUUGAGCUUUGGUGUUCCCGCAACUCCUAUCAUUGUUGUUGGCUUCAGUUCAAAGAACAAAUCAUCUAAGGACCCUAAAUCUUUCACGAUUCCAUCCUUAUCAGUCAAGGUCUUAUGUAAACUUUCUCCAAGCAAUUUAGCAGCAUUCAAGAAUCCUUCCAUUCCCAUUAACUGCUUGGCUUUAUCCAUGGCUACCCAAAUAGUCACACAGUUGCCGAAGUAAGCAGCAGGGAUCGGUGGAUCCAAACGUGCUCUACAAUCGAUGGUAAAACCAAAAAUUUCUAACUCAUCGUUUCUUGAUUCUGCUAUGCAACUCCAGAUAUAACCGCAUGCAACUGUAAAAGAUGAUACAUAUACUAAACUAGGCAGUUGGGUUGAAACCAAUUUCUUCAACCGAUUGAUGACACUUCGUGUCAAGAUAACUGUCGCUCGAACUUUAUCAGUUGGCCCUGAAAGACUUGGAGGUUGAUACUCUUCGUUAAAAGUUUCAACCUUUGCGUUCUUCAGAUAACUUUCAUCAAGUUUCGGGUAUUUAACAAGUCGAUCAUAAACGGGUAAACUCCCAUGAGUUAAAAACAACUCAUCUGUUCCUGAUUGAGCUAUCGAUGUCCACGCCUUCAAGAAACAAAACCGCGUGGUAGCAUCACCCAAGCUAUGAUGAUUCGUCAAGCCAAUAGAAAAUCCAUUGUUCGGAAAAAGUGUCACUUGAACGGAGAAGACUGGGAUUGUUAUGUAGUCGGAGACUUUAACAGUGCGUUUGAGAAGAGGUACAAGAUGAUAAAACUUGUCACACUCUCGAGGAUGGUUUCCUAUAAGAUAGUUGAAAUCAAGGUUACAUUCUGCGAACGUAACAUCGACGUAAUCACCUUCAACAUAUCGGAUUUCAGGUUUUUUAUCAGAGGAAGGAAACACGAUCAAGUUGCCAACGAAUGGAAAAAAAUGUUGAAGGGUGAUUGAUAAUGAAUUUUUCAGUUUGGGAACGAUGGUUUUAGUGAAGUGUGAUUUAGUGAUGGGGAGGUCAUAGAAGAAGACGGUGUUAACGGGAGGGAAGGUUAGCCAUAAGAAGUCAAAGAAAGUGAGUGGCAGGGACCUGUUGGAUACGGUGGCCGGAGGUGGCGAUACUUCUGAUUCUUCAAGAGUAGUCAAGACUGGAGGGGAACCCAUUUUCAAUCAGCACCCUCUGACUGUUUUAAGGUCCCAAAAGUAGUGAAGUUAUAUAGAGAUAAGGAGACGUUGAUAAAUUUAAAUGUGUGGCCAUUUUU
rnacentral:lncRNA from 1 species